rnacentral:lncRNA from 1 species
UAGUUGAGGUUAGCUCGAUUUCGGAUCGGUGCAGCCCCUGAGUCCUUUUCAGUUUAAAACAGAAGCGGAAAUAAAAGGCGUUCUGAAUUUUUUUUUUUUUGAAAUCCUGACCCCAAGAGUAUGCAGAAUUCUCACAAAUACAGAAUCCACUUGUAGGGAGCGACAGGUCUCCCUGUAUUUGCACGGGCGUCAUCAUAUUAUUACAGUACAACCAGUAACACAGAGUGAGUGAAGAUUACUAUACAUUAUACAUUUCACCAUGUCACAUCACCGAGUGUUGUUACAUUAGGUGAUAAACAGUGAAAACCACAAAAAAUCCUUUUAGAAGGUUCGGUGUGGACCGUCAGAGGACCUUUAAUGUGCGUUUUGGUAAAAGCGCACCACGAGGGCGUAGAACCUUUUAGUUUGUAUCAAUAAGAUUCAGGAAAUUCGGACAUUCAAAUUAUAAUACUUAGGCUGGACCAGCAAAAUCAACUAACUAUAUAUCUAACAGAAAAUUACAAGGUAUAUAAGUUUAAGUCGAAAUACCUGGUUCGAAGCUCUAUCGAGCCGCGUACACACGUACCUCAGUCUUGUCCACUAUAUCAGCCCGCGUGACGAUACUGAAAGGGGACAUUGGUUGUGGGGAGUGUGAGACAUGUAAUACAUUUUCCCUGCCCAGAUUCGGUCCGCAAGCAGAAGGCGUAUUAGUUACGCGGGAUCGGGAAGAGUGGUAACAGGACAGUAUGAGGGUAGUGAGACUACGUAUGGGGAGUAACGAUAGAUGAAGGAACAAAGGAUUGGUAAGUAUAGUGAUGAGUAGUGAAAAAUCAGAGGGUGAGCGCUACGUGUAAUGUAUGACUGCAAGAUAUCAAGGAUACAAAACUAUGUAGCAGACACUGUUAAGAAGAACUAGAAGUUAUAUAUGCAGCACGUUAUAGCUAUAUGGUCACCGACGGAAGUCAAAGUAGCCAAUCUGAAUAACGCCGGGGGUGUCCGUCUUCAAGACCUAGGCAAAAGAUCAACUUAUCUGCUCAUACUGGCAUGGUUUAACAUAGCACAAAGAAAACCGCUGGGUUGCGGCGGGGUGAGGAUGUAACGAACCACUUUUCGCGGGGAAAAAGAAGCAGGGCUCUGCUGGUGGAGGGGGGGGAUCAACCGGGCUGGUGGUUACUGUGGGGAAAAUGCACGGCGACGGUAAUUGUCGGCGUUCAUGUCGAUAUGAUCAAUGCCCAAAGAUUCGGCAACAGCCGAACAAUGCACCGGGGCCCCUCGGGCCUAUAGGGUCAGUCAACUAGAAAGAAGCCGCAGAACGACACUGAGGUCAAGCUAGGAUGGAGACACUCUAAAUCCUACCUCAACUGGCUGAUGCAAUAGUGACUGGACUGAUCAGAUGCAAUGGGAGUGAAGCAAGCUCAACAUGGACUAUCCAAAUGUAGUAAUACUGCUCAUAGUUCACCUACUUAUGAUAUACCAAGAUCGCAUAUACAAUAUGCUGAAGUAUUAUAAUCUAGAAAAUUAUCGGUCGACCGGGAUGGCGACAUAUACGCUCAGGCACACCCGGACCUCGAGAAGGGUCAUCAAUACGACGAAUGUAAGAAGCGCCAACAAUAAAUAAUAUUUGCGACAAGGACCGACCAACCAGGGGGUGGGUGUCACAGAUAUUAAUAAUAAAAGCACGAUAACUAGGUCAACGAAAAAUAGUACGAGAACGCGAUGCAAUUCAGGGUCACCGAACGAAAGUCAGAAGAAUCGACAUCGAGAUUAGCGACAACAAAGUGCAAGGAGAGACGGCAAAUAGGUCACCGGUAUCAAUCACCUGGGAUAAAGCUAGCGUCUUACUGCCGAAGCAUAGAUAGUAAGGCGAUAUGCAACAUUAUGAGGAGUAGGCAGUGAUGCAAUAAUACGACCAGGCGAAUGCAAAGCGCAUCAAAUACGAGUUAUAUCAAAUAUAUGUAUAUAAGAAUAUGCGGGAUAAUAACGAUCGGCGGGGGAGGACCAAAACUUAAGAACCGAGCAGGGGCGAGCGUUCGACCACGGGGCAGGUAGCGAGGUGCGGAAUCGUAGGAAUACCACCUGUGUCGGAUUGUCGGCGAACUGUUUCCUGACUAGCAAGACUGUACACAGCGACGCCUAUAGAGGGUCCACCGGGUUAGUAUCUAACCCGCAACUAAUAAUCACAGUAUCCACAACCCCACAAACGAUUCCACAAAGAUAGGUUUCCCAAUACCGAUUACCGUAACUCGCCGGAAGUCCCGAAAACUACACCGGGACGUCGUCGGGACCCACUAAGUGUCCCGAACUCACCGACUCGUGCCACGAGUCACCUGCUGCCCCAAAACACUCUAAUUUGGAUGUUUUGGCAGCAAACACAAGAUAGCACCCCUACACAAUUAUCGCCGGAUAAUUGUACGAAUUCGGGUUCCCGAAAGUGUCUAUUUCGACACCGGAACCCUCCGUCGCUCACCAAUCAUCAUCGAACCUACAAAAUAAUGAUGGUGACCCGCCAACAAGGCUCAGCGACAAAACACAGAGCAAACAAACACCGUCGAAAAGAAUCCGAACCGAAAUCGCGUUCUUUCGACGAAUUUCGUCGAAAAACGCACUGAAAUCAACCUUUCGAUUUCCGCGAAAGCUACAGGUGUAAUACACUGAAUUUUUCCAAAUUGCGAAAUUCGAGUGUGAGGAAUGAUAUUUGGAACCCUCCCACAUGUUCAAAAGGGUUUAUAAAUGUUUACACAUAAGUUUGAGAGUGAUCGGAAUGUCGGAAACAAGAAAGUGCAUUGAGCAGGCGAAAAUCAGCUUUUUCUGCUUGCUGUACCGGUACAGCCAUUAGCCUGUACCGGUACACAAUGCAGAUUCGUGGCAGCAGGGCUAAUUUGGUCAUUUCACAUCUUGAGCCCAUCUAUUUGAACCCAGCACGUCUCUGGGACUUCAGUGGAGUGGGCUAGAGUGCAGAGAAGCUUCCUCCACCUUCUCUCCCUCUCUCUCUCUAGGGUUUUUCUCUCUCUACAAAGAAUUCGACGAUUUCGCUCAUUUUCGUCGCCUCGCUCGAUUUUCGCUGGUUGCGGGUGUCGCUGAGCCUUGGUGGACGUGUGAGGGAGUGGUUUGGAGAGUUUUUCGCAGCCCUGGACCAGUAGCUCACUGGUUGCAAGCUUGAGAAGGUAAUCGGCUCACGUUUUCCAUUUUUUUNNNNNNNNNNNNNNNNNNNNNNNNNNNNNNNNNNNNNNNNNNNNNNNNNNNNNNNNNNNNNNNNNNNNNNNNNNNNNNNNNNNNNNNNNNNNNNNNNNNNNNNNNNNNNNNNNNNNNNNNNNNNNNNNNNNNNNNNNNNNNNNNNNNNNNNNNNNNNNNNNNNNNNNNNNNNNNNNNNNNNNNNNNNNNNNNNNNNNNNNNNNNNNNNNNNNNNNNNNNNNNNNNNNNNNNNNNNNNNNNNNNNNNNNNNNNNNNNNNNNNNNNNNNNNNNNNNNNNNNNNNNNNNNNNNNNNNNNNNNNNNNNNNNNNNNNNNNNNNNNNNNNNNNNNNNNNNNNNNNNNNNNNNNNNNNNNNNNNNNNNNNNNNNNNNNNNNNNNNNNNNNNNNNNNNNNNNNNNNNNNNNNNNNNNNNNNNNNNNNNNNNNNNNNNNNNNNNNNNNNNNNNNNNNNNNNNNNNNNNNNNNNNNNNNNNNNNNNNNNNNNNNNNNNNNNNNNNNNNNNNNNNNNNNNNNNNNNNNNNNNNNNNNNNNNNNNNNNNNNNNNNNNNNNNNNNNNNNNNNNNNNNNNNNNNNNNNNNNNNNNNNNNNNNNNNNNNNNNNNNNNNNNNNNNNNNNNNNNNNNNNNNNNNNNNNNNNNNNNNNNNNNNNNNNNNNNNNNNNNNNNNNNNNNNNNNNNNNNNNNNNNNNNNNNNNNNNNNNNNNNNNNNNNNNNNNNNNNNNNNNNNNNNNNNNNNNNNNNNNNNNNNNNNNNNNNNNNNNNNNNNNNNNNNNNNNNNNNNNNNNNNNNNNNNNNNNNNNNNNNNNNNNNNNNNNNNNNNNNNNNNNNNNNNNNNNNNNNNNNNNNNNNNNNNNNNNNNNNNNNNNNNNNNNNNNNNNNNNNNNNNNNNNNNNNNNNNNNNNNNNNNNNNNNNNNNNNNNNNNNNNNNNNNNNNNNNNNNNNNNNNNNNNNNNNNNNNNNNNNNNNNNNNNNNNNNNNNNNNNNNNNNNNNNNNNNNNNNNNNNNNNNNNNNNNNNNNNNNNNNNNNNNNNNNNNNNNNNNNNNNNNNNNNNNNNNNNNNNNNNNNNNNNNNNNNNNNNNNNNNNNNNNNNNNNNNNNNNNNNNNNNNNNNNNNNNNNNNNNNNNNNNNNNNNNNNNNNNNNNNNNNNNNNNNNNNNNNNNNNNNNNNNNNNNNNNNNNNNNNNNNNNNNNNNNNNNNNNNNNNNNNNNNNNNNNNNNNNNNNNNNNNNNNNNNNNNNNNNNNNNNNNNNNNNNNNNNNNNNNNNNNNNNNNNNNNNNNNNNNNNNNNNNNNNNNNNNNNNNNNNNNNNNNNNNNNNNNNNNNNNNNNNNNNNNNNNNNNNNNNNNNNNNNNNNNNNNNNNNNNNNNNNNNNNNNNNNNNNNNNNNNNNNNNNNNNNNNNNNNNNNNNNNNNNNNNNNNNNNNNNNNNNNNNNNNNNNNNNNNNNNNNNNNNNNNNNNNNNNNNNNNNNNNNNNNNNNNNNNNNNNNNNNNNNNNNNNNNNNNNNNNNNNNNNNNNNNNNNNNNNNNNNNNNNNNNNNNNNNNNNNNNNNNNNNNNNNNNNNNNNNNNNNNNNNNNNNNNNNNNNNNNNNNNNNNNNNNNNNNNNNNNNNNNNNNNNNNNNNNNNNNNNNNNNNNNNNNNNNNNNNNNNNNNNNNNNNNNNNNNNNNNNNNNNNNNNNNNNNNNNNNNNNNNNNNNNNNNNNNNNNNNNNNNNNNNNNNNNNNNNNNNNNNNNNNNNNNNNNNNNNNNNNNNNNNNNNNNNNNNNNNNNNNNNNNNNNNNNNNNNNNNNNNNNNNNNNNNNNNNNNNNNNNNNNNNNNNNNNNNNNNNNNNNNNNNNNNNNNNNNNNNNNNNNNNNNNNNNNNNNNNNNNNNNNNNNNNNNNNNNNNNNNNNNNNNNNNNNNNNNNNNNNNNNNNNNNNNNNNNNNNNNNNNNNNNNNNNNNNNNNNNNNNNNNNNNNNNNNNNNNNNNNNNNNNNNNNNNNNNNNNNNNNNNNNNNNNNNNNNNNNNNNNNNNNNNNNNNNNNNNNNNNNNNNNNNNNNNNNNNNNNNNNNNNNNNNNNNNNNNNNNNNNNNNNNNNNNNNNNNNNNNNNNNNNNNNNNNNNNNNNNNNNNNNNNNNNNNNNNNNNNNNNNNNNNNNNNNNNNNNNNNNNNNNNNNNNNNNNNNNNNNNNNNNNNNNNNNNNNNNNNNNNNNNNNNNNNNNNNNNNNNNNNNNNNNNNNNNNNNNNNNNNNNNNNNNNNNNNNNNNNNNNNNNNNNNNNNNNNNNNNNNNNNNNNNNNNNNNNNNNNNNNNNNNNNNNNNNNNNNNNNNNNNNNNNNNNNNNNNNNNNNNNNNNNNNNNNNNNNNNNNNNNNNNNNNNNNNNNNNNNNNNNNNNNNNNNNNNNNNNNNNNNNNNNNNNNNNNNNNNNNNNNNNGAGAGAGAGAGAGAUGGAGAGAGAGGAAGAAGAUGGCUCCGGCGGCGGCUGGCCGGCCGGGGCUCAGUCGGCGGCGGCCUGGUUGUGCGCAACAGGGCAGGGAAGAGGGAUGAAUGUGGCAGGGGGGCUAGGGUUAGGGUUUCUAGUAGCAAACCUUAAAAGACAACAUGUAUGUAUAAGGUGCAAAUUGCGGAAAAGCCCCUCAAACUUCAGUAUUUGAUACUGAGUCCCUCACAGCAUGAGUAAAACGCAAAAAUACCCCUCAAUGAGCGAUCUCACGCAAAACGGUACAUAAAAUAUUGCGACUUUUGCGAAAUUACCGUUUUGCCAACACCGACCUCUCCUCGAUCAACGCGCGAUCUCCGCAGAUCCGUCCGUCAGAUUUGCGAACGGAUUGCACCAGUGCGAUCAGCACCUCGGAGACAGCAAAGCUACACCUUCGAUUCAUCCCGAUCGACCACGGAUUCACGACAAAAUCCAACCUUCUUCCAAUAGAAGGAAACACACACGCACAAAUACAUAUAAAACAUGUAUUUUUGGAUUUUCUCGAAAUCCGUGCGUCAAACUCAAAAUCCAUCAGCGCCACUAGUUCCAGAACAGCUGAACCGGUCGAAUCGAGCUAUUGGACUGAUAUGAACGGAGUCCGAUACGCACCAGAAGCCAACUCUACUCCGUGGCUUCCCCGGAAAACCGGAGUUACUAUUCACUUAAGUGAAAACUGAAAAUUGCGUAUCUUCUCCAUUUUAGCUCAGUUUCUCCUGAAACUUAACGAGUGCUUAUGUAAUUAAAUUACACACAUAAACAUCAUCAACAGAGAGUUUAGUCGCACUGUCAAAAAUCUCAGUCCUUACACUCGGGCGUUUUUGGUCGAUCCAGCAAGUGGUGUCGCAGCCGAGGGGGUUCCGUGCUGCCAGGGAUUAGCGUGCGAGGUGGGUUACAUCGGUUUUGACUCCUAAGUUCAUAAUCGUCAACAUGUAUAGAUCUUGAUUUUGAUAAUUUAUUCUAGCUCGAAUUCAUGGAUUAUAUGAUAGAAUGCAAAUCUGAAUUUGAAGCAUGUGGUAAUAAAUUAAGUAGAUUAUAUAUGUUGGACUUGGAAACUGAAUUAGGAGAAAACCUGCGAUUUGGACCUGUCACUUGAUUAAACUGCUUGAUUUAGCUCUAGGAGCCGUUAUUAAAUUGUACUGUCGCAGAAUCUUCGAGACGAGUACUCCAGAUAGUUUAGAAUAUAUCUACACUCGUGCUNNNNNNNNNNNNNNNNNNNNNNNNNNNNNNNNNNNNNNNNNNNNNNNNNNNNNNNNNNNNNNNNNNNNNNNNNNNNNNNNNNNNNNNNNNNNNNNNNNNNNNNNNNNNNNNNNNNNNNNNNNNNNNNNNNNNNNNNNNNNNNNNNNNNNNNNNNNNNNNNNNNNNNNNNNNNNNNNNNNNNNNNNNNNNNNNNNNNNNNNNNNNNNNNNNNNNNNNNNNNNNNNNNNNNNNNNNNNNNNNNNNNNNNNNNNNNNNNNNNNGUUGUUGACCCGCACUCUUGAUGACAUUUUUGUUCAUCAGGAGUCACCCAUGGCGGGUUUUGUUGUAGCCAGGUGGGUGAUUCAGAUGUCUUCCCUCGUUCUCAUCAGUCUUUUCGUCCUUUAUUUGAGAUGGCGAUAGCUAGUGAUAUGAUAGUACGAAAUGUGAUUGGUUGACAUCCUUUACAGUUGAGACUGGGUUAGGUUAGCCCUGACAUUCGUAUGGGCAGGGGCCCUGACACUUAUGUGGGCAGGGACGGGGCAACGCUGAUAGCCCCUGUUUUUGUAGAGCCACAGGUUUCGGCUGCUGCGCCUUCCGUGGAUCAGGAUCGAGGCAAGGGCGUCGCGAGCUAGAGCCCUACCCGACUGACAGAGCUAGAGGUACCCUACUGCAGGUAGUUGUUUUACUUCGAGCUUAUGUACAUAGUACUUAACUCGCCAGUGCGAGUAACGCUGUAUUUUGGUUUUUGAACUAUGUAUAUGAAGCUCAGUUGGUUUAGCUAUUGUUUAUUGAGCAGCUCUAUGCUGCUGUUUGUAGUAUUGCCUAUCUACAGGUACUUUUGACGCUUCGUAUACAGAAAAAAUUUCUUUGUAUACGGCGGAUUUGUCGGCGUGCCCGGGGAACGAGACAUCCGGGGCGUGACAACAAAUAUAUUAAAAAAGGUUAAUUUCAUAUAGGUCACUACAAAUAUAGUGAAUUAUAAAUAUAUCUCUACAAAUAUAGUGAAUUAUAAAUAUAUCCCUACAUUUUUACCCAUCUUAUAUUAUACUGUUGUGGCUUUUGUAGAGAUAUAUUUGUAAUGGCAAAAUUGAUAUUUCACUUAAAAUAUAAAUAGUUAUAUAACGAUAACAAACCAGAGCGACAUAUUUGAAAACAUUAAAAUUUUUACAAGAAUAAUAUAAAAAAGUUGAAUUUUGUAGCGACAUAUUUGUAAUUAACUAUGUUUGUAGGAACAUAAAUCCAUUUAACCCUAUUAAAAAAUUCUUAUAGAAAAAAUAAGAGUAAUGUAGUUAUUUUGCCCUCUCCAUUAACAACGAAUUCUCCUAAAAAUAUUUUUUUAAUUUUCAAAAGACAAAAUAUAGAUUUUUGAAGUUAGAAAGAAAAAAAUAAAAAUAUGGAUAUUUAUAAAAAAAAUUUCUUUUGCCAUUUAUAAAAAAUAUUCUUUUCUUCAUGUAUAGAAAGAUACGGGGAAUUUAUAAAGCACAAAAUACAUUAAAAUACAGGGGUUUUCAGAAGAGGUUUAAUUACACUCUACUAAUACACUUUACUUAAGUUUGUUUUUUCUUUUCUUUUGCUGUAUAUAUAUUAUACUAUUUUUUUAAGAUAUUUUUAUAUUAUUAUAUUGGCCAAUUUGCAUAAAAAAUUCACUUAUUUUGGGCUUUUGCAAAAUCGGACCAUCUUUUUCGUUUUUGAAGAUUCAGUCCGCUUUUUCAGCAAACUGACCAAAAUACUCUUAUACCUUUUUCUCUCUCCUCUUCGUUUCUUUCGUUUUUUUCUUUCUCUUCCUAGAGAGCGGCGGAGACGGAGCGAGGCGAAUGACAACCCCAUUCCCAUCCAAUGUGGGAUUAUUGGGGUGUCACAGACUCCCCCCGUUAAGGCCCUGACGUCCUCGUCAGUCCAAACACACACAGCCCAAGAUCACCAGGCUAUGUGAGACUCGUCUCGCUAGCCCGUCAUCCAGACCCUGGCUCAGCCGAGACUGAUACCAAAUGUAACGACCCAGCCCACUAGCAACAAUAACUCGUUGGGCCCAAUCACCGGCCCAAAAUGCUUAAGCCCAGUUAUUAUUACUAGUGUCUAAGUCUCUUAUAAACCCAAUGACAACCCCAUUCCCAUCCGAUGUGGGAUUAUUGGGGUGUCACAGAACGAGGAUGCAUCUUCGCCGGUGCCGACGCUGACACCGUGGAGGUCACUGCGGCGCUGCAGCCUUGGAGCAGGGGGGGUCCUUAGCGGCGUCGUUGCCGGCGCCGUGGCUGUUGGCAGAGAGGGUGACAAAAAAAAUAUUAUAGAAAAAACAGGAAAAAAAUAGAGAUAAAAAAUUAUGUAAAAAGAAUGAUGAAGAUGAAAUUACUUUGUAAACUGCAAAAUAAAUUAUAAAUUGCACUACUUAAGAUGUAAACUGCAACUUUAAGAUGAAAAUUACACUCUUUAAACGAAAAUUACACUCUUUGGGAGGUAUUUACACUGUUUCUCUUCUUAUUACACUCUUUCAGAUAUAAACUGCAUCCAUGAAGAUGAAAGUUACACUUUUUAAACGAAAAUUGCACUGUUUCUUCUCUUGUUGCACCAUUUCUUCUCUUAUUAUACUAUUUUUUAUCUUAAACUGCACCCCUUUAAGAGAUAUUUAUACUAUUUUUUCUCUUGUUGCACUGUUUCUUCUCUUAUUGCGCUAUUUCUCCUCUUAAAGGGUACAGUUUAAGAUAAAAACAGUAUAACAAGAGAAGAAAUAGUGCAACAAAUGAAAAAACAGUGCAACAAGAGGAGAAAUAGUAUAGAUAUCUCUUAAUUGGGUGCAGUUUAAGAUAAAAAAUAGUGUAACAAGAGAAGAAAUGGUGCAAUAAGAGGAGAAACAGUGCAAUUUUCGUUUAAAGAGUGUAACUUUCAUCUUAAUGGAUGCAGUUUAUAUCUGAAAGAGUGCAAUAAGAAGAGAAACAGUGUAAAUACCUCCCAAAGAGUGUAAUUUUUGUUUAAAGAGUGUAAUUUUUAUCUUAAAGCUGCAGUUUACAUCUUAAGUAGUGCAAUGUAUAAUUUUUUUUGCAAUUUACGAUGCAAUUUUAUCUUCAUAAUUCUUUUUAUAUAAUUUUUUAUCUUUAUUUUUUUUCCUAUUUUUUCUAUAAUAUUUUUUUGUCACCCUUUCUGCCAACAGCCACGGCGCCGGCAACGACGCCGCUAAGGACCCACCCGCUCUGAGGCUACAGCACCGCAGUGACCUCCACGGUGUCGGCGUUGGUGCCGGCGAAAAUGCAUCAUUAUCAGAGACAACAGAGAAGGAGGGAGAGGGAGAGACGAGAAGGGCGGGGAAGGGCGAGAGAGGCGUCGUUGUCGGAGACGGUGGAGGAGAGUCGGAGAAGAAAAGAAAAGAAAAAAGCAAAAAAAAAAAAAAAGCCGCGGCGAGGCCUUUGUGGGGUCGGAGGCAAGGAAGGUGGGGGAUGCGUGGGCGAGGGCAAGGGCGAGGGCGAGAGCAUGAGGGUGAGCGGCGAGGCGGAUCAUUUCCGCCUCCGCCUCUGCCUUCGCUAUUUUUUCUUCGGCAAUAAAAAAAAAUAACGAGAGAAACGAAGAGGAGAGAGAAAGAGGAAAGAGAAAAAGUAAAAAGGGUAUUUUGGUCAGUUUGCUGAAAAAGCUGACCGAAUCUGCAAAAACGAAAAAGGUGGCCCGGUUUUGCAAAAGCCCAAAAUAAGUGGAUUUUUUAUGCAAAUUGGCCUAUUAUAUUAAUCAAUUUUUGAUGCAUUUUUGUUUUUCUAUUUGACUAAAAUACAGAAAGUACUAUGUAGAUAUUCAUUUUUUCACUAUUUCUUUCUAAUUUUUAUAAAUAUAUAUUUUAUUUUUUAAAAAUUUUAAAAAUAUUUUCAAGAGGGUCUUAGAAUAAAUAAAGAGUGUGAAAUAAUAAAAUUAUCCCUACUUAUUCUAUAGAAAAAAAAAUAUAUUCCUUUUUAUAUAUUUUCAUUUUUAAGAAUUUUUUUGGUAUAAAAAAGAUGGAUGGAAUAGUGACAGAACCCUGACGCAGGAAGGCUAAAUGCAUUAAUUUAAAAUUUUCAAUAAAAAAGGGGUAUUUAUUGGAAGAUAAAUCUAUAUUUACUUCUAUAUUAAAGCUCAAUACCAAAACUGAUAUCGUAUGUAUACCUUAUUUUAAGGAAUUGGGUUCCACCUUUAUUUUAUGUAUUGUAUUUUUUCUAUGUGGCUUUUUAUCUUUUCCUUCACCGGAUUUUUAAUUAAUGCAUCCACUCAUUUAUGACCCUUCGAAUCCUACUUUAAAUCACCUUUCUUCCACCGGAUUUUUAAUUAAUAUAUUCUAUACCUCUAUAUUAAAGUUAAAUACCAAAGCUGGCAUGGCAUGUAUAUCUUAUUUUAAGGAAUUGGGUCCUACCUUUCUUUUAUGUAUUGUAUUUUUUCUAUAUGGCUUUUUAUCUUUUCUUCACCGGAUUUUUAAUUAAUGCAUCCACCCACUUACAACCCUUCGAAUCCUACUUUGAACACUAGAAACGGACGUAAUUGGCCCCUUCUCUCCUUCUCCGCUUCCUCUUCCUUCUUCAUGAGCUCCAAACCUGACAUCAAUCGUGUGUUGUGAAUGGAGAAGGAGAAUCGCGUGCCGUGUCCCGAACUCGGCGCUGCCAUCUCUGCUGACUUCAAGGACACCAUUGCUUGGACGACGAGACGGAGUGCAUAUGCGACAUGGUGAGGUAGGUGAUGGGCAUGCUCGAGGGGCUCCUCACGAGGCUCCUGAAGAGGGAGAGGGUGGCACUGGACUCUAGAUCGAGUAGCUCAAUGCCGAGCUCAAGUAGCUAAAUGAUAGAUAAAUAGAAUUCCAAUCCUUCUUCAUGGCUAUAGCUGAAGGCGCCAUGGCAGCGCCACAGCCUCCGCCUGCACUGUUGCUCUCAUGUUCCGAAACUAAUCUAUUGCUUAAUGACGUGACGAAGCAAAGAAACUAGCUUUUUCAUGCUUUUAAUAAAGGUUUAUAUAAUAUCAAGCUUAUUUUUAGUUCUUAGUUAUUUCUUUUCUAUGAUAUUUUCAUGUGCUUUAUCAUAUUUGUUUAUUUUAAAUUGUAUGUUAUGUUAAUUUGUUAUUAUUAUGUUUGAAUUAUAUAUAGUAUAUUUUCUAUAUAAAUAUGAUGUUUCUCAAAUGGUACAGUACUUUACACCAAUAAUCAGGUAGCACAUAUAAUAUUAAUAUAUUAUGAACAUUUAUGAGAUGAAACAUGCAUAUUGAAUCUAAUCAAUAUUUACAUUAUAAUUUGACCAAGUUAUUAAAUUAGAGCAAGAAGGUGAUAAGGUCCUACAGGUUUCAUGAGUGAGGUUCUAAUGGCUCCUGUUGCAAUGGAAUUCACUCAAAUAUUGUCCGUCGCCCACUUAAUACUUCUUGAGUUGAUUCAAUGCUCUUGAGUAAAUCGAAAGCAAAUAUAAGAAAGAAAAAUAUAUAUCACAAAAAUAAUUCUUUCAUAUUUAGAUGAUUAUUUUUGUUAACAAGUUGUGCUUUGAAUUGCUAGAUGUACGUUUAGUUGCUGAGUAUAUGGAAAAGUUGGUUAUAGCAACAAGCCCUGCAAUUGAUGAGAUGAAUACAAUGUUUCCCACUCUUGACACCUUGAAAAGUGGAUGUGCAAGUUGGCUCAAAUUGAAAACAUAUUCCAAAUUAAUAGCCAUCAAGUAUGGAUAUUGUUCAGCACUAAUAUCUACUGCUGCUUUCACAAAGGACGUCCUACUUUUACAUUUUUUUUACAAAAAAAAUUUUAAUCUUUUUAAUUUUUUAUGUUAAUUCCUAUUUCUUCUUUCUUCAGUUUUACGCUAUUCUAAAAAGAAUAGUUUUUUUUAUUUUUGUUUCCCAGAAAAAAUAAAAUUUUGUUAAAAAAAAAAAAAUCAGAUUUCACGAAAAAUUUACCUUUUAUUUUUGUUUUUUCGAGUAAUUUCUCCGGAAAACGAAAACUCUUGGAAAAUGAUAGUUUUUUCGUAAAAAUUACUAUCAGACCUGAACUAAUCCCGAAUCGAGCGUGAAAGAGACCCAAUUCGCCGAUCCUUCGUCUCCCCGAUCUCUAGAGUUUUCGAGGUCCUACUCCCCCGUUAGGGUUGAGCAACAAGCACAUUAUAAGAGAGAGAGAGAGAGAGAGAGAAAGAGAGAGAGAGAGGGAGGAGAUAAACUACUAGUAGAAACAGCAGAGCCCGAACCUUUGAACGACGAAAGAGGAGUUCCCAGAAGCUAGAACUAGAGCGGGGCGUGUGGCCUAGUCUUUAAAAAAUGAUUUUGAACUUAAAAAGUGAUUUUCGGUUGGAGCGCUUGCCAACUUCGUUUUUAGUUUCAAAAUUUGAUUCUGAUUUUUAAAUUCAAUUUUUUCAUUUUUGAUGCCCAAAAACGAAAGCAGCUAAAACUUACUUUUUGAAAUCUAAUUUUGAUUUUGGACUCAAACUUCAAAUUUUUAUUUUAAUUUUCGAUUCAAAGAUUAAAUUUAAAUUUAAUUUUAAAUUUUAAUUUUUAAAUUUAUUUUUGAAUUUUUAAAUUUCAACUUUUAAAAUUUAAAUUUAGAUAUUAAAUUUUAAAUGUCACGCCCCGGAUUACUCGUUUUUCCGGACGCGCCGACAAAUCCGCCGUAUACAAAGAAAUUUUUCCUGUAUACAAAGCGACAGUUGUACCUGUAAUCAAACAAUACUAUAACCAGUAGUAUAGAGCUGCUAGGAAAAGAAAAAGCAUAACCAGAUAGAAAAUAAAAGUUUACUAUACAUACAAACAUCCAGGAAUACAACAGCUCACUCAACGCGAUACAACAAAAGUAUGUAUAUGAACUCAAAAACUACCACUACCUAUAGAUGUAACCCUCUAGCUCGACGACUCGUCGGGAAGGGCUCUAACCUGCAAUGCCUUUGCCACGAUCAGUCUCGGUAGAUGCAGUAGCCGGAAUAUAAGGCUCUGCAAAAGAGGAGUAACAACUGGGCGUGAGAACUACUGUAAAAACAAGUAGUUCUCAGUAGAUACAGCCCUCAAAUUCAUCGGUUCACCCACCAAAUCUACAGAAGUAAACAAGUAUAGUAGGAAAGCUGGAAUGAAUCUACACCUAAAUGCACCUAUAAUAUCUCGGUCUAACAACCACUAUCUGUAGAAAAAUACAAUCUGACCCAAUCUCACUAGGGACUGUGAACACACCCAUCCCAGGGACUGCGAACACGCCCGUCCCGCCUACCAAAGCUAAAGCUACCUCCACCACCAAGCAACCCGUGAAGAGCAAGUCCAAACAGGACAUAACGACACCAACGCAAACGCACAAAGCCCUACUCCGGAGUGGCACUCGUGGGCGCUACCCAACCGAGUAUGCAAGCGUGUCUCUGUCGAGCUCAAUCAGGCUCUCACAGGCUAUAGUCAAGUGAACGGGUCUAACAACUGAACUCACGUGCCCUCGGCACAAUCGGAUGCAGCAACAGCAAUCUGGGUCCACCGUCAACCCCAACGGCACCCGACAAUCCGGAACAGCCUAAACACUGCAGUAAAAAUACACUCGGCACCUCAGCACGAGCAUAAUUACAUUCUAAACUAUCCUGGAUAUCCACCGCUCUGAUACUGCGGUGAUACAAAUGAACCACGGCACCUAGAGCUAAAUUUGGUAGUUUCAUCAUAGGACAGGAUAGAAUCGCUAGUUUUCUCCUAAGUCAAUUCCAAGUCCAACAUGUAUUACAUAAUAACUCAUUUCAGCAUGCUUUAAAAAUUCAGAUUUCAGCCAAGAUGCUAAUCGACAAAUUCAAGCUAACCACAUAGUAGACAAAAGCUGAAAAUCAUACACGUCGACUAAACUUACACUUAGGACUAACACCGAUGAUUAACCCACCUCGAGUGCUAAUCCACGGCAACACGAGGUCACGAAGAUGAAGGAAACCUUGCUGGAACCAGCCGAAACCCCAAGGACCAGAAAUCAACUACCUCCAAGGCUCUAAACAUUAAAAUCCAUCAAGUAAUACAAUUUUUGACACUUAAGCUAACAUUGUCUCAACUUCAAUGUCAAAAUUACCUUCUAAGGAUCAAAGUCGAUGAAGGCAGGUCCCAAAUCCAAUGGAGGAUGAAAGUACACAAGGUUUAGAUCUCAACUCCAGCUCUCUCCAAAGAUUGCAUAAAGAAAUCCAUAAAAAUCUCAGAAUCAGCCUCAAAACCACAGCAGCACAGUAAAACACCAAAUUGACUAUACAAACCUCAACCAAAUUCUGUCAAAUUGGGCUCUAUGGAUUCCUCUCGAAGUCCUGAAUCCAACAAACCAAGUUUCGUGGAAAACGGAGCUUCUUACGUCGCACACGAGCUGAAACGCCGACCGUCGCUGCUGAAGCUCUGCUGGAACAGCACUCCUCAAGCUGAAAUUUGUGGAAAUUAAAGCAAUUCUAGGGACUUAGAGGCAAAAUGGGCUUCACAGUGAAGGAGGAGAAAAAACCAACCAAAAACUCCUCCUUCCAACCUCCCUACACGUAUAUAGAGGGGGAAGGUAAGGGUGAUAACAAUGAGGCUGUCAAAAGACUAAACAGCCCCUCACCUACCCUGGUGUACUGGUACAACAUCCAUGCUGGACCGGUACCCGUAGAUUGCAAACCCGAGAGCAGCCUGCGCAGGAAAACUAUAUGGGGUAUCGGUACAACGCUUUGUACCGGUACAAAAUGCAGAGAAUCUGUAAAUUUGCAAAUUCCAAUGCUGAUUCUUGCUCUCGCGUCCCCACUGAGUCCGUUUUGCGUCUAUUUCGCACCAACGCGACUCGGACUUGUCCCGACACUCUCCCGAUGUGUCGACAAGCCUCAACUGCUGCACUCCGGGGUACUAUAUUAAAUUUUAAAUCUCAAAUUUUAAAUUUCCAAAUUUAUUUUUCAAAUUAAAAUAUCAAUGUGAGAUCUCAGAUAGUCCUAUAUAUGAGAUAUAAUAGGGCUAAACUCUUAACCCGGCUUAAGCAUUUUGGGUGGUGGCAAGGCCCAAGAGAUUAAGAGAGUUAAGCGUGCUAGGACCGGAGUAGUCCUAGGAUGGGUGACCCUCUGAGAAGUUGGGGCGUCACAGAUAGUAUCAGAGCCAAUUACCAGUCGGAAGUGUGAGAUGAGUCUCGGCUGAGCCAGGGUCUGGAUGACGGGCUAGCGAGACGAGUCUCACAUCGCCUGGUACUUGUGAGUCUGAGCCUGACGAGGACGUCAGGGCUUAAAGGAGGGGAGAUUGUGAGAGGCGUCACAAAUAGUAUCAGAGCCAAUUACCAGUCGGAAGUGUGAGAUGAGUCUCGGCUGAGUCAGGGUCUGGAUGACGGGCUAGCGAGACGAGUCUCAUAUCGCCUGGUACUUGUGAGUCUGAGCCUGACGAGGACGUCAGGGCUUAAAGGAGGGGAGAUUGUGAGACCCCAGAUAGUCCUAUAUAUGAGAUAUAAUAGGGCUAAACUCUUAACCCGGCUUAAACAUUUUGGGUGGUGGCAAGGCCCAAGAGAUUAAGGGAGUUAAGCGUGUUAGGACCGGAGUAGUCCUAAGAUGGGUGACCCCCUGGAAAGUUGGGGCGUCACAAUAUUACUGUCAUUUUUUAGGUUGGGUUAAAUGUAACAACUUAAAAUAUUGUGCGGAUGAAAUAUAAGUUUUUGAAAGUUAGGAAGGAAAGAGUAAAAAAGAUUUUUUAAGGGAGUUUUUUUGUAAUUUAGCUACAAAAAAAUGAAAACUCGAUGAGAGAAAAGAGUAUUUGCUGAUUCUUCUCCUUCCUCCGCUUCGCUCGUUCCACGCGCCGGAGGGAGCGGAGGAGGGAUCAGAGACCAAACCCUAACCCUAACUCUAGCGAGGCCCUGGAGUCGCGGCGAUGGCCUCGCCCGCGGUGGAUUCCGAUGUGGCGCGCCCCAUCUCCCCUUAUCCCCUCUCCGUCGAGGAUCUCCCCGCCUCCACCUCCGAUCGCUCCCAAACCCUCCGAUCCAUGGGCGACCUCCUCCGCAGCAUCCAUGGCGCCGGCGGCGGCGGCGUAAGAGGAGGGGAUCAGGAUGAGGACGAGGCGUAUGGGGAAAUGACGCUGGAGGAUUUCCUGGCGAGGGCCGGGGCGGUGAAGAAGGAGGAGGAGGACGACGCUAGGGUUUUGCCGGAGAACCCAGUGCUAGGGUUUGGGGGCGAGGAGAGGAGGAGGCGGGGGCGGAGGAGGAAGCGGCCGGUGCUCGAUCCGAUCGACAACGCCGCAGUGCGGCGGCAGAGGCGGAUGAUCAAGAACAGGGAAUCGGCCGCUAGAUCGAGGGAGAGGAAGCAGGUAUUAUUAAAAAAAUUAUUAAUAAUAAUAAUAAAUUUAAGUUAAAUUACACUUUUGAUCCUCAAACUAUGUGGUGUUGUUUGGUUUCUCGGAAAAAUGCGGAAAAAUUUUUUUCAAGAAAAAAGGUUUGUCAUGGAAAAGGUGAUUUUUUUUUUAAAAAAAAAAGCUAGGUUUUUGAGAAAGAUUUUUUUCCCUGAUUUUAUGAACCAACUAGUGUUUUCAUUGUUCUUAAAAAAAAAAAAAAUUUAGAGCCUCCAAAUUCGUAUUUAAAAUUUGAACUUAAAAAUUUGAAUUUACAAUUCAAAUUCAAGCUCAAAGUCAAAAUUUAAAUUUAGAACCAAACCCAAAUAUCUAAUCCAUAUUGGAAUUUAAAAUAGAACUUGAGAAAUUAGAGAUUUAAAUUUAAAUCUUAAAUUCAAAAUCAAAUUUAAAGUUAUACUUUAUUCUAAAAUUAGAUAUAGAUUAACAUUUGAAUUUAAAUUUUGACUUUGAGCUAUUAAAGAUUUAAAUUUAAAUCUUAAAUUCAAAAUCAAAUUUAAAGUUAUACUUUAUUCUAAAAUUAGAUAUAGAUUAACAUUUGAAUUUAAAUAAUUGUUAGUGAAAAAAAUGAGUUUUUUUUUUUUUUUUCAAUCCCUUUCGGAAUCAAAGUAGGUGGGAAUCGAUUUCGAGGGAUUUGAUUCCCUUCGGAAUGGAAAUCGAAAUGUUAAUCUCUUAAACCAAACUCUACCAAUAGAGAUUAUGGAUCGUUCUGAUUCUUAUUCCGACUCUCAAAUCCUUCAAACGAAACAUGUCCUAAGUUAAGAUAGGUUUGAUCUAUUCAAUUUUAAGCUACUUAAUUUGAGUUAUAUUGAGUUCAGUUAAAUAAAUGUGAAUUUUCUCAGGCUUAUACUUUGGAGCUUGAAUCCUUGGUGGCGCAGCUAGAAGAGGAAAAUGCUAGGCUUCUGAAGGAAAAGGUAGAUCACAUACUCGGCUUUUAAUUGAUUGAUGGUAUAGAAUUUGAGCCUAACUUUUGUAUGGUUGCAGGAGGAUUUCAAGAGACUUAGGCUCAAGGAGGUAUGAGUAAUUCUCUGUUCUUGUGAUUGGAGUGUAAAUUAGUAAAUUACUGCUAUAGGCUCAAGGAGGUAUGAGUAAUUCUCUGUUCUUGUGAUUAGAGUUCAAGUUAUUACUGUGUGAUUAGAUCGACCUACAUGGCUAAAGUUAGUGCUUUUUAACAAAUUUAGGGCAUGUUUGGUCUGGAAUGGAAAUGGGAAAUUGAAAUGACGAAUCAUGUAAAAUGUUUGGUUCAUUAUUAGAAUGGAAAUGAAUGGAUAAUUGGAAUAUCUAGAAUUUUGGGAGAGAGUUUUGGUUUAGGGAAGAGAAGAAUGAAAAAGGGAGAGAAGGAGAAGGUGUUUAGUGGUUUACUUUGGAAUGGGACCAAUCCAGAAUUCAAAGCCGGAUUGAGCCAUAAAUGGAUUGCGUCAUUUUCUAUUCCAGAGUGGAAUAUGAAUCGAAAUCUGAUCAAUUCGAUUCCUCUAAAACAACCAACGACUAUCGGAAUCAGUGAAUCACAUUCCGAUUCCAAAGUCUAAAUUAGGUGAACCAAACAAGUUCUUUGUGAGAGCGGAUUUUGUCAAAGAUCAAAUAAUCGUGCUAUAUCGUGUUCUCUUCAUUUGUGAAUUUCACAUUUGUGGUUUGUUGGAUUGACGAUCGCUAUUGGUGGAACGGUUUCUCUAUCUUAACACCAAUUGGUCAGAGUCUUUGGCAAACAGAAAAGUGCGGAGCUUUUGAUGGGCAGGUUGCGAAAGUGAGCUUACUGGGGGGUCCGGAAAGUAGAAGCUUAGAGCUUUUUCGAACAUCUUUACUCUUUAUGGAGAAGAUCUAGGCCCUUUAAGAGAUUCAGAUAUUUGUUAUGCUUCAUGCUGUAAUCUUUCAAUGGCAUGGAUAUAAAUUACAUACUUCGCUACUGCUUUGAAUUACCAUUUUGUGUGUGAGAAUUCUUCAAACCUUCAGAACAUAAUAGCGAAAUCUAUGAUGCAAUCACUUGCGCUUCUUGGCCCCAUAAGUUGUUUUUUGUUAGGUCUGCAUUUCCAGCAAAAUUUAGGCCUUAUUUGGUAUCAUGUUUAUUUUCUAUUUUUUUUUUAGAUAGAAUUUUGUGUAUCAAAAAGUGUAGGAGUGGACAGUGGAUUGUUUGUAAUUAUUUCAUCUGAGGUCUUUACUUGACCACAGAAAAUAAAAGCUUCAAGACUACUCUUUCUUUCUCGGCUCCCAAAUUGUUUUAAACAAAUUGUCGAAUACAACAACAACAAAAGAAAAAAGUACAUAAAAGGGCAACUAUACCAAAGGAGAUCUUAGUUUCUUUUUUUUUUAAAAAAAAGAGAAUCCUUUUUAUUAAAUAAAAACACUUAGAUUGUAUUCUCAAAAUUGUACUUAUUUCUUGUUAAGAGAUAUUGAAAUGUGAAGUUGAAGGCUUGAAGGGCCACAGCUUUGUGAUUAUUUGCUUAUUGUGAUUGCUCGAUUUCACAACCCUAGUGGUUAUGCUUGUAUAUUUGACUUUGUCAAGCAAUAGAUUUUCUAGUCAUUUAUGCAAAAGAUCAAAUCUGUGCUGUUCCUAGCCAUCAUCUAUUUGCUUCUGUUCUUUCCUGGGUGAAAUUUCCAGUACUUGAACUCACAUGUAUCAAGUGUAGUAUCUCUCCAGUUUCGCGGAGUUUAAUUCGCAAAGUGUUUUGCAGAUCAAGGAGAACAUAAUCCCGCUUACCGAGAAGAAAACACCGGCGCGGCCAUCGCCUCUAAGGAGAACUCAAUCCUCAAAGUGGUAGGGUUAGUGCUGCGAAUUGCGGCAUCCAUUCGAACGUCUUCGUGUAGAAGCAGACCUUUCGAGUUUUCGGGAAGAAAACAGCAUAUGUUAUGGUGAACAUAGAGGAGAUGAUUUUUUUUUUUGCCCUUUUCCUUUGUGUGCAGAGAAGAUAAUAGGAGGGUGACCAACAUAUUUAUUUAGAGAAAAUAUCUUCUUCUUCUUUUUUUCUUGGGGCAAGAAAAAUAAUAACUUAAGGAUACUUUAAGCAAUAACUAGCGACGCUUUAAAGCGCCAGCAAAAGUAACUCCGUCGAGCAAAGUGUCAUUAAGUAAACAUGUCGGGAUGCUUUAAUAUAGCGUCGGAAAAUUUUUAUCAGCUUUUGAUAAAAAUAUAUUUAUUGAUGACGCUUAAUUAUGGCGUCGGUACAUGUCAAAUAUUACAGACGCUAGAAAAAAAGUCUAAAAAGCGUCGUUUAAAACAUAUUUUGUUAUAGUGUAAUGAUGUAAAUUAAAAGAUUUAGCUUAAAUGUUUCAUUCGUGCAAUUGUGCAUCAGUUCAUUCAUCUACUCUUGUACUCUUCACUUGAAUUGGUGUAUACUUUGGUCUCUGAACAUUUACAGUCAUUAGUCCUUUGCAUUGUAGUCGGUUUUGUAAUACAAAUACACACAUAACCUUGUUUUGUGAAAAAACUCUUAUUCUUUAACUCCAAUUAGGAUUAAAAGAAAAUAGUGGUGCCCUUAAAAAUCUGAAUUUGAUGCAUUGAGUGUAAUUUUUGACACCUUCUGAAGGACUAUGUAUAUAUAUAACUAAAUUCAUAAAUUUUAGAUUGCUAUUUUUCGCAUUAGUUCCUGAACUCUCGAAAGAGUUUCACUGGAGUUCUUACGGUUAUCGAUGUCAUAUUUCAAUCUCACCAUCUAUUGAUUUAUAUUUUCCUUUUUUUUUUCUUUAGAAAAUGGAGUAUUGGAUUUAAAAUAUGAGGUAGAUGAAGGACUGAUGUAUAAAAUUAUACUACGAGGACAAAUGAAGUAUUUUUGAAAAUUUAGGCUCUCAAAUGUCAAAUUUAAAAGUGAAACUUGAGUUGAUGUUCUGAGACUAAUGGUGCAAUUUACUCAUUUUCUGUACAUCGAUCAAUCGGAUAAUGUUGAUCACUUAUCAUAUUAGACUUUAAUUUUAAAUUGAAUAGUAAAAAAAUAAAAAUAAAAAAAUCAAUAUUUACGUUGCUCAGUAAGUAUCUAUCUAAAGAAACAAAAGUAUAAACUUACAUCUUAUAUCUUCUCCAAACCAAAAAUCAAAAUUCUUAUGGUGAAAUCUAUUCUUCUCUUGUGUCAACAAAAGAAACUUUAAAAAACUUUGAAAAAAGCUUUUUGAAAAAUCUUAAUUAGAUGCCCUGAGUCCCCACCAAUUGGAUCCACUUGGCCAUGUGCAACAGACCAGCCCAACGAACAAGAUUUCUCCUACUUGCAUGAAGCGAAAAUAUGCACCAACCCGUACAAUAUCACAUGUGAAAUGGACACAAUAGAGCAUCAGAAUAAUUAUCUCUAAAUUUAAACUAUUACAAACAUAUUGUUUAAAGUUUAUUAGACUUAGAAGUUUCCAAAAUAUUAAAACUUUUCCUGCUCAUGUGAUGGAGUACACUCUAGACCACUAACAUGCUCUAACUACUUUGUGACGUCUUUGUCGUGGUCCCAUGCCUCUCUGGCAAUGAUAGGCUCUAAAAAGAGAUAAACAGACUAAGGGAUGAGAAUUUAAAAUAAGUUUUCAGUGGGUGCAACCAUAAAAGUGACGCUUUAUACUCAUUCCAUCUAAAGUAGGCAUUAGUAAAUAAUGAUAAUAUAAAAAAUCUAUUUUUACAAUAAAAAUGCAAGAAAUCAAGUACAACUAUAAUGCCUCAAUAUAUAUAUAUAUAUACAAUAUGCCACAAUGAUUUAUUAUGUCAUUAGCUUACCCUAUUAUCUCUAUUACUUUUUAAUUUUAACCAGCUUAGUAGUUUAGUUUCCUUUUAUUUACACACCUACGGAGAGUCUAGGGGGGUCAGACUUCUCUCAGGCUAUUGAAGUCAAGGGAGAUCGGAUUUCCCCAAGUACGGCAUUUGAAGUCGAGAGGAUCGGACUUCUCCCUUAUGACACUUUUGGAAGGUCUCAACAUAUUUCAUUAUUCACCUUAAGGUUAUGAUUUAUAGGGUGUAUUUGGUUCGUAUUAUGAAUGAUUACCAAGAAUAAAAGGAUGUCCAAAAAUUUAAUUCCCACUCAUUUUAUUACUAAGAAUGUGACAUUCCUGUAUUAGAUUCGCACAGACAUAUUAUUUAAGAUAGCAAAAACUAUAAAAUUAAUGUAUUUAUUUUGUUAAUUAAUUUCAAAUGCUAGCAGAAAUGUCAACAUCUUUUUAGAAAAAAUUUGGUAAGAUAUUAAUAAUCAAAUAGUAAUAAAUAAAAAUAGCCAGCUAAUAUACAUUUUUCAGAGAGUUUAAUUUAGAGACAGAAAAAGAGAGAGAAAGAAAGAGAGAGAGAGAAAUCAAUAGAUAUAUUAAAAGGUGGGUUGAGACAGAAAGAUGUAGAAAGAUAAAAAGUAAAGAAGAGCUCAGUUUACAAAAAGAUUUGAGGUUGGAGGGAGUGAGAGAGUUGAGAUAUUUAGAGAGAGAGAGGGAACGAAAGAGCAUAGGUUAGAGAGAGUGCAUAAUUAAAGAAAUAGAAAGAGAGAAGAAUAAAGGUUAGUAGAAGAGACAGAGAUAUGGCUAGAGAGAGAAAAGUGUUUAAGUUUAGAGCGAGAAAGAUAAGAUUAGAGAGAGAUAUAAGGUUACAAAGUAAAGGAAAACAGAAACAAAUAGCCGACGGGUGGGGGAGGAAAAAAAAAAGAGUUUGCUGGAUUAGAAAUGUUAUGAUUAUUCCAAUUAAUUAAUGUGAGGACACCCAACCCCCUAUCAAAGGAACAAGAUUAGUACUUUAGAAUUAAUCUCAUUUCCAAGUAUAUCUUAUUAGAUUUUAUUGGGUUUUUUAGUGAUUUAAACCUUAUUAGGCCUUUUGGGCAGCCCAAUACUUGAUGGGCCUUACCUGGGAGCUCAAUUAAGGUUUCCACAUAUGAGUUUAGUCCCACAUUGGAAACUAAAAAUAUGUUAUUGUUAUUUAUAUACUUCUAUAUUCUCAAGUUAGUUGCAUGUGAGAAAAUGAAAGUUAUGCACUCGACUAAACACUCGCACGCACAGCACGAACUUGAGUUUGGUUGGGUGGGCGGCGCCGCGCGCGGUCCAGGCACCCGAUUUAUUUUAUUUAUUUUUUAUUUUUUAGUUUUAUCUUUAUCUUUAUCCUUUUUUAUUUUUUAGUUUUAUCUUUAUCUUUAUCCUAAUCUUUGUGGGAAUCCUCUUUAUCUUUAUCCUAAUCCUUAUGGGAAUCCUAAUCUGUAUCCCGUGUAAUAUUAGGCUUAUCUUACGUUGUACAGAAUUGACGCGUUGAAGCAAGAUCCUUACCUUGGAUAUAUAUCUAUUGGAUGAGGUUGCAUGAGUUCAACCUAAACCUCUGCGUACCUGAGAGCAAAACCCUAUCCUCUACCUCGCCUUUUUCUAGUUUCUUGCUAUUGAUCUUUUGCACUGAUUUUCACUGAGCUUUCUAGUGUUUUGCUGGAUCUCCUAAAGCUUGUUGGGUUCAUUUUGCACUACCUUGAAAGCGUGUUGAAUUAUUUUUUCAAAUAUUUUACUAAAAAAUCAGAAAUAUUUUCCAACAAUCUAGAAGCAAAAUUUUUAAUUUAUUCUUUCUGUUUUUUAGUAAAUAAAAUAUUUCUAUCAUGCCUCGAGACUCGCCUCUUUAGUACCGCCAAACAGACAGAGUUUCUCCUGUACGUCCAAGGCGUCGCAAUAGUACAAUUCAAGUGGUUCCAACUAGGAACAGAAUUCACAUAUUGAAUGGAUAAGAAAGAUACCAAAAAUAUAAAGUACUAAAUAUUAUAAGCAUUCAGCUAAGUUACAUCACAUUUACAUUCUCUUCGGCUUCCAAAUACAAUCAACAUUAGUACAAUUUGUUUCAUUCUUUUCUUUUCUACACCCCUAAGCUGGGCUGACUCGGGGUACAGCUAUCUUUGGUCUCUGUGGUAGGGCGCUAUCUACUAAGCUACAACCUUUCCUUGCGCUGCCGUGUCGCUCACGUGUGGACCUGAAAAACAUGGGGGUGAUUAUUAUAUACAUAGUUCCCAAUAGGUACGGCCACCCAAGAGAAGAGCUCGACCCACCAGAUCCAAAGGAGGUAACAUCAGCAAGUUAGUCCAACAAUUAAACAUAUAGUUUAUGCAAAUAAUAAACAUCAUGCUUAUGCCUCACAAAAUGCAAUAAUGCAAUCAAUGCAACUAGAUUUACUGUUUCUACUUUCUAUUUCACAUUCCAUACCAUUUACCAAUUGCUCCUAAGGUUUAUUUACCUUAGCCAAACUAUGCCACCCGACUCAGUCUUGAGUCAAUCAUAAAUGGACUACCGCUCACAUCCAGGCCUGAGGAGAGGAACAUGCCGUACACUUUAGCCUUCGAUCCACAAACCAAGUCGCCCAACGGGCCGCGAAGAACUGCGUACACCCAUAGUCAGGGAACCCCCGAUGGGAAAGGAACAUGCCUCAUACAUCUGCAGCCGAGAUUCCCGAUAGGGAGAGGAACAUGCCACAUGCACCCUAGCGCACGAAAAUUCUUCCGGUGGGAGAGGAACAUGCCACAUACACCCACGGCCAAGAAUCUUCCAUAACCACAAUCCUCGAAGUUCUUGCGGUGGGAGAGGAACAUGCUGCAUGCACCCACGGCCAAGAACUGUCGAUGAUCACAAGUUCUGGGAUUCCGGAAUCCACUUUCCAAGCCUCAAGGGUUGGUCAUAGACCCUAUGUUGUCAAACUCUCUAGGUUCACAUCAUUCAUAUCCUAGUGGCCAUCCUACCACUAUGUUUCCUAACCUAUGUUCAAUAAUACUAGAUUCAAUACCACUAUGUUUCAUAACCUAGGUUCAACAACACUAGAUCCUAUGUUCUUUCACCUAGAUUCACCCGACUGUAGAUUCAAUGUCCAACCUAUGUUCAAUGAGACUAGGUCAAUGUUCAAUUAAGUUAUUUGUUAUCCUAGUUGUCCACACCUAGGAUUUGUAAUUCCAUAACAUCUAGUCCUUGGUUUCACAGUUGUCAAGUUCUCUAAUUUUUCUAGAGUUCAUCGACCUAUAUUCAAUGUCCACAUCCAUAUCCAUACAACUACUGUAACAAUAUUCAAGAGAAUUUGAAUGUGGAAAAAUAUUUAAAUUCAACAUAUUUAAUAUGUUUAAGAAAUUUUAGAAUUUUGCUAAUUUAGAAAUUAAUUUUGUCUCGCUACUUAAAAAAGUUUGAAUAUGGAUAAAUAUUUAAAUUCAACAUAUUUAAUAUUUAAAAGUCUUAAAUAUGGGUAAACACAAAAUUGAUAUGAAUGUUUUGAUUGACAUGCAUUCCACAAAUUUAGGCAAUAAUUUUGCAUCGUUAUUUAAGGAAUUUUAAAAUUAUGUAAUUUAGACUUUAAUUUUAUAUCAACAUUUAAGAAAAUUUGAAUGUGGGCAAAUAUAUAAAUUCAACAUAUUUAAUAUGUAUAAAGAAUUUUAGAAUUCCACUAAUUUAGAUAUUAAUUUUGUAUCACUAUUUAAAAAAUUUGAAUGCGGGUAAAUAUUUUAAUUUAAUAUAUUUAAUAUGAAAAAAAUUUAAAUAUGGGUAAACACAAAAUUGGUUUGAAAGUUUUGUUUGAUAUCCACUCCACAAAUUUAGGCAAUAAUUAUGCAUCGUUAUUUAAGGAAUUUUAAAAUUAAGACUUUAAUUUUAUAUCAACAUUUAAGAAAAUUUGGAUGUGGGCAAAUAUAUAAAUUCAACAUAUUUAAUAUGUUUAAGAAAUUUGAGAAUUUCGCUAAUUUGGAUACUAAUUUUGUAUCGUGAUUUUUUUUAAAAAAAACUUAAUGUGGAUAAAUAUUUAAAUUCAACAUAUUUAAUAUUUAAAAAUUUUAAAUACGGGUAAAUACAAAAUUGAUAGGAUAUGAUUGUACUUUUAAAUUCACAGUUUAGCUAUAAACUAAAUAUUUUAAAAUUCUUUUAUAAAAGAUGACUUGAAAAUAAUUUUUUUUUAAAAUUUAUUUUCGAAGAUAUACGUCCAUAAUUUUUUGCCCAUAAUUAAAUUGGAAUAUUCAAAAUUUGUAAUCUAUUCAGAAAUAAAAACUCCCACAUUUUGGGGAGUUUCUUUUUUUUACUUAUUUGCAGAUCCAUUAUAGUUGAGAUUAUCACUCUUACUGUGACCGCAGGUGGCGAUCUUGGAACCACCGCCGGAGCUGACGUAGAACACCUUCUAGAAGGUCUUGAGAUUUUUUUAUUAAACAUAGAGAAAAGAGAGAGGAAAUCACUGCAACAAAAACGGGUAUAACAACACUUUUAAAUAUCGGUACAGAUCAAAAAAAAAUACUGCUGGCUAAAUUAUCGACACUUUUUAAAAGUAUUGCUAUAUGUGAGGUCGUUAUAUGUAGGGCCGCCUUGAUGUUUGGCAGCUACUCCUCCAGCGACCUGUGGCAGAGGGACACGUAGCAAUCAUAAUCCUCUACGGUCCAUGCGAGAUUCUCGCGGCUGAACUCCAGUCGCAGGAAUCCUACGUCGUCGACUGCGGCGGCGGAGGAGGAGAAGGGAAGAUGGUGAUCAAUUUUUCUUUUUAUUUUUCCUUUUCUAUUUGUAAUCAAGCCGAGUGGGCUGGAUGGGGUUGGUUGAGUAGAGGAACUUUAUGUUUUUUAUUAGAUUGGCUUUAUAUUUAGGCCUUAAUAGAUUUUUUUCAAAAAAAUUUGGCAUAAAUGAGACACUUAUACAAAAGUAUUCCAAAAAUGUGUCCUUAUGACCUAAUUCUGUUGUAUUGAAUGAGAAAAUAGAAACUGUGGAUAUAUCUGUUGAUUAACAAAGUGUCACGCCCCGGGGUUCUUUUGGAAAAUCCUUUUUAGAAAAACAAGCAGAAACGUGUAGAUUUUUUUUCUAAAAAAAAUCCCUUUGAGAACAACCCGCGGACGCACACAGACCUGCCACGUGAACAAAGGAUUCUCUAUACGAACGGAUAGAGUCUCUCCUGUCCAUGCAAGGCAUAGCACCAUAAUACAAAGUCAACCAUAUGAACAACCAUGCAACACAAAUAAUAAAGAUCGCAUGGUAAUGAUAAUUCAUAUACAACCAUUAACAUCUAUACAUCAAUAAGUAAGGAACUAACUAACCUGUUAGAAGGAAAAAUACAUAUCAACAACAAAUGGAUCUGGAAUACAGAUAUCUAGUAUCGUCCUCACGCGCUGCCCCAACUCUCACCGCCCGCGUCACCUAAAAAAUGGUGGGGGCUGAGAACAUGUAAAUAUGUCUCCCUUCCCAGUGGGUACCGCAAGCCGACAAAGGCGAAGCGUACUCACUGGCAAAGGAAGAGAUAACCAAAGCAAUGAACAGAUAUCGUAAGGUCAGUGGCAAUGAGAUAAUAACAGGCAAUAAAUGCGAAAAUACUGCUACUAUAAGAUAAGGCGGAAAUCAACAACUAGGGGUAAUCAAUAUGUGUACCAAAACAGUAGUAGUAAUGACUAGAAAGGACUAUAACUGCCAAUCAACAUAAUUGUGUGCUACUAUAAGAAACAACAGAAUACAAUAAUGUAUCAAACAGAUCAAUAAUGCCAACAAUGAAAUCAACUGCCAUAUUGGUCUAAGAACCUCAGGCUAAACCACAUUCUGCUCUCCCAUCUGGCAUAUAACCCUAACAGGCACCUUGUAGGACUCACGGAUCGGAAGUAUGACCACUUUUUUGGAAAAGAACACUCUCUUGCGGUGAAUCAAACCGCUGGUGUACAUGAAAAUGUUCACGAGCUAUGACAAUCAAUGUAAUAUGCUCAAUGGCCUACCACGGCAACUAGCCGAAAGAGUAAUCUAUAACUGUUUGACUGAAUUAGGUCCACUAUUCUCGAAGGAAAUGUCACCAUGUCACUGCCCUAUAAGGUCUAUAUAAGUAAGUUACCUUGUAUGAGAUGCGAAAAGUUAACAUGCAACGGAUAUACAAUAUCACUGUGUAAUGAAUACGAAUGUCACCAUGUUACCGACUUAUAAGGCCUAUAUGAUCAAGUCACCAUGUACGAGAUAUGAAAACUCAUCAUGCAACGGAUAUAUAAUAUCAUUACGUAACGAAUACGAAUGUCACUAUAUCAUUGUAGUCAAAUCAUGACCACUAAUCAUAGUCUACUCUAUAACUAGAUCAGGAUAUUAUAAAUGAGAAAUAAACCGUUGAGUAGACAACAGAAAACCAGAGAGGUGUAAAAGCUCAGUAGACAAGCAUGUAUAUAUUACUACAAUCAAAGAGGAUAUGAAAGAAAAUAAAUCACCAAGAAGGCACCGCUAAACCAACUUCAAAUUGAAGUACCCACCUCUACCGUGGAAAGAAACCAGAUCGACACCCCGCCGAUGUCUCCCGCCAUAGUCCGAACCUAUGCAAAGUCCCAUCCAAAACCGUAAUUAGCUCAAACGCGCUAAUUACAAAAACUAUGAUUCCAAAUGAAUCCAAACAGGCGAACAAUCGGGUUUCUGAAUCUCGUUCCACAGUUACCGAAAGAUCGCCCUGUUGUUGCACCGACUCGUCGAAAUAUCACCCGAACCCACAGGGCAUUUCAAAACAAGUCCCAUACAAAGCCUACCUUGUUCACUAUCUGUCACUCCCCGGAUUACCAUGAUUUCCCGAGCACGCCAAUAGACCCGCCGAAUAUCAAGAAAUUUUCCGUGAAUACGAAGCGAUAGUUGUACCUGCAAACAAAUAGGAGCUACAACCAAAGUACAGAGCUACUAAAACUGAAACAUGUAUAUGAAAACAUAAAAUGGUCCACUGUACAUACAAAAGCUAUAGAACAACCUCGCUCCAGCGAGUACAACAAACAUAACGGUAUGUACAAAGUAAAGCGCCAAAACUACCUCUGUAAGAUACUCCUCUAGCACAAUGACCAAGGGUGGUAGGGAUCUAACUCGCGACUUCCUUACCACGGUCGGAAUUAGCAACAGCAACAGCAGCGGACGGCUCUGCAAAAAGGUGGCAACACCUGGGUGUAAGAACUACUGCAAAACAGAGUAGUCCUCAGUAGGUACCGUUAUCAACCUCAAUGGCCCACCUACUAAGUCUACAAUAAGGCAUGCAAAGGAUAAUAAAGUAAGCUGGAACAAACUCGACAGCUAUAUGCCACUAGACUACCACUAUCGAACCAUGCUCUCUGUGGACAUAGGAAUGCAUUACUAGCUACACACUAACUCAAUCUCAAGGGACUGACGACUGGCCCGUCCAACCUAUAUCCAAUCUACACCGCACACCACCCGCGGGCGUGGCCGGUCCAAGAACAAUGUCCAAACAGGACGGCUGCGACAUCAAUGCAAGUAAAGCCUCACUCGGGAGCGGCACUCGUGGAAGCGACCCAACCGAGUAUACAAGUGUGUCUCUGUCGAGCUCAAUCAGGCUCAUAUAGGCUAUCGUCAAUCCAGAUGAGUCAAACUUGUCUAACAACCAAAGCUCACGUGCCCUCGGCAUAAUCUGAAACAAGAUGUAAACAUCUGGGUCCAUCGUCAACCCUCAACGACUCCCUACAGUACAAAACAGUCCAAACUCUACUAUAAAACAAGCUCGGCCCCUCAGCAGUGUAAACUCAACCUACACUAAUCUGAGUAUCCACUAUGCACUAACAGCGAUGAUACAAAAAAACAACAACUCUUGAAGCUAAUUCGGUUAACUUUUCGAAAAGUGACAGUGUAGAUUUAACAAGUUUUCUCCUAAGUCAAUCCAGUUCAGCAUAUAUAUAACUUCAUCUAAAAUCAUUAAAUUAUGCUCCAAAUUCAAAUUUCAUAUAAAACAUGCAAAACGUCACCGUCCUACCAGCACAGUCAAUCAUCGCAUAAUACCGAGCCAGCCAAUCCAUGCCAAGCACUAUAUCAAAAUUCUGUAACUGCCCUAAGACUAACAGGUCUGUAGCCAUCAUCCACGGUCCCAACUGCACUGAACAAGCCCAACAACACUCCGCCACAUACAAAACAUAAUCGGGAAUCUGCACCUCCCGUGCAUGUAACAACGGCCCUAUCUCUAAUCCAUGCAAUGAUGCAAAUGCUCGACUAAUAAAAGAAUGUAAUACACCGGUAUCAAAUAAUGCACGAGCUCUAAUGCAAGAAAUCAAAAUGAUACCUGCCACCACACGAUUUGCUGCCGUGGAGUCCUCAACCUGAGCAGCAUACACCUUGCCACUCGAUGCGUGCUGUCGCCGCUCACUCUGUUGCGGCACUAAAGCCCUAUUAACCUAGCUAUAGCUCGGUUUUGCUCCAAAAGUCAGAUGAGGUACCGGCGGGGCCGACGCCGUCGAAGGUGCUGGUGACGCUGCUCGGGGACAAGCUACCCGCAGAUGCCCUAGCUGGCUAUAUCCAAAACACCAGCCCUCUCUCUGCUCACACUGUCGAGGCCAGUGUAGUCCCCCACAAAUGAUACAGCACGGAUCUCCCUGCUGCUGUCGCUGUUGACGGGAUACACCAGACCGCUGCCGCCUUGAAGACCCAUGACCAUGAGAGCGUGAUCGUGGAGGCCUUGGCGGACGUUUGCCACUUGUUUGUCCUCCAUCAUCUGGAACCGGGCGCUUCUUGUCCUGAAUCUGUCCCGACACCGUCGCCCGCUCACAGACCGAUACAGCUCCUCGCUCCACCCACUGUGCUUGCUCAAUCGACGCAUCCAAGGUCCGGAACCUCUGUGCCUGAACCAAAAUAAAAAUCUCUGGUCUCAAUCCUCUCUCAUACAAAUAGAUCUUAUGAGCUUCAUCCCUGGCUACAAAUGGCACACAGUUUAGAAGCCUGGUAAACUCUCGAGUAUACUCUUCCACUGUCUGAUCCCUCUGCUGCAAUUUCUUCAGAUCAUCCUCGAGUUUCUACUAUACACUGCUUGAAAAAUAGGCCCCGUACAGCAUCCUAGAAAACUCGUCCCACCUUAUCUGUAGUGCAUCCAAACCUCAGUUCUGUCGUAUCCUCCUCCACCAAGCAUGCACAUCACCUGCCAUCACCUGCGAAACAGUGUACCUACUCUCGCUUCGGUACAAAGAGAUCCUCAAACAGUUUCUCCAUCGCACUCACCUACGCCUCUACAACCCAGGGCUCGGUGCGACUACCAUCGAAGUGAAGCGGAUCAAAACGGCAAAAACGAGCUAGCCUCUCAAUCAUCCGCUCCUGCUCGGCCUCUGGCAUCUGUGACGCCUCUACAGUAGGUGCAACUGGGGCUAUAGGAGCUGUCGCUGGUGAGGGUACAGCUGUGGCUGGUGCGGCCACCGAGGUAGUCGAGGGCGGCGCCUGCUGCUCUGAUGCUCUGGGCGCGGCACUUGAAUGCUGAGUGAAUGUUUUGCACAUCCUCUGCAACAACUCACCCUCCUGCCUAGUCACCUCAGUUAAGGCAGCCAACUGCUCUCUCAAAUUCGACGGUACACUUGAUACCGCCUGUUCUGGCGUCUCCGAUGGCGCGGAACGAUCCCGUAUCGGCAGUCGACCUCAGCACCGAUAAGGCCUCAUGGCUACCUGAAACCAAAAACAAGGGUCAGAUACAAAACACAACCACUCUCGACCCAAUCAAGCGAAAGUCUAGAAGGCCGUCUCUAUUCCUCCGCAAAAGUAUGCCAUCUGCAGCCAACAUAAUUUAUCUAGCAGAAACAGAUACUCCUUCAAUUACUCUCUCGACUAUAGGAGGACUUAACAUAACUCAAUCGCCAACUUUCGCAAUAAGUCACGCUUCUCGUGUCUUGCUUUCCUAAGGUCUGCCAAGCCUAGGAUUUUCUAGAUCCCAACGACCUAAUUCUUAGCUCUGAUACCAACUUAAUCUGUCACGCCCCGUAUUACCACGUUUUUCCGAGCACGCCAACAGACCGGCCGUAUACCAAAAAUUUUUUCGUGUAUACGAAGCGAUAGCUGUACCUGGAAACAAAUAGGAGCUACAACCAAAGUAUAGAGCUACUAAAACUGAAACAUGUAUAUGAAAAUAUAAAAGGGUCCAUUGUACAUACAAAAGCUAUAGAACAACCUCGCUCCAGCGAGUACAAUAAAUAUAACGGUAUAUACAAAGUAAAGCCUCAAAACUACCUCUACAGGGUACUUCUCUAGCACAGUGACCAAGAGUGGUCGAAAUCAGCAACAGCAGCAGCAGCGGACAGCUCUGUAAAAAGGUGGCAACACCUGGGUGUGAGAACUACUGCAAAAUAGAGUAGUCCUCAGUGGGUACCAUCACCGACCUCAACGGCCCACCCACUAAGUCUAUAAUAAGGUAUGCAAAGGAUAGUAAAGUAAGCUGGAACAAACUCGACAGUUAUAUGCUACUAGACUACCACUAUCCAACUAUGGUCUCUGUGGACAUAAGAAUGUAUCACUAGCUACACACUGACCCAAUCUCAAGGGACUGCCGAUUGGCCCGUCCAGCCUGUAUCCAAUCUACACCGUACACCACCCGCCGGGAUGGCUGGUCUAAGAACAAUGUCAAAACAGGACGGCUGCGACAUCAACACAAGUAAAGCCUCACUCGGGAGUGGCACUCAUGGGAGCGACACAACCGAGUAUGCAAGUGUGUCUCUAUCGAGUUCAAUCAGGCUCACAAAGGCUAUAGUCAAUGCAAAUGGGUCAAACUGGUCUAACAAUCAAAACUCACGUGCCCUCGGCCCAAUCUGAAAUAAGAUGUAAACAUCUGGGUCCACCGUCAACCCCCGAAGGCUCCCGACAGUACAAAACAGUCCAAACUCUACUAUAAAACAAGCUCGGCCUCUCAGCAUGAGCAUAAACUCAACUUGCACUAAGCACUACGCACUAACGAUGAUGAUAUAAAAAAACAACAGCUCCUGAAGCUAAUUCGGUUUACUUUUCAAAAAGUGACAUGUAGGUUUAACGAGUUUUCUUCUAAGUCAAAUCUCAGUUCAGCAUAUAUAUAACUUCAUCUAAAAUCACUAAAUUACGCUCCAAAUUCAUAUUUCAUAUAAAACAUGCAAAUCAAUGAAUUUGAGCUACUAAACAUGAUGUUCACGAUAAGAAUAAUACAUGCUGCCACUUCUACGACUUAGGAGGAAUUUCGACGAUUUCGGUAAACAUUAACCCACCUCGAACGCUCGUCCAACACCAGAUAGGAGAAACUUCGCGUGCUUGCUUGACCUUCAACGGCUCAACUAAGACAACCUACACGCACAAACGGCCCUCUUAAGAAACAAAGAAUCCAAACGAGCUCGAUCCUCAACUUCCCAAUGAACGAUGUGUACAAGCUAGAGAGAGAGAAGAAGAGGAGAAGUAUGCUGUUUCUCCAAGCUUCUCAGGUGGACAUAUAAACUGAGGAAGGUUGGCGAUAUUAUCAACAACCAAAAAGACCAAAAUACCCCUUACCAACUCAAAUAUGCCACUUGAGUAUCGGUACUCGGCACGCCAGCGAGUAUAGUUCGCGCGCUUGGUACCAGUACUAGCCCGAUGCAGUACUGGUACUCUGCCCCAAUACCGGUACUCACCAACAGGUACCGGUACUCAACACAAAGAGGCGCAAACCCGAGAGCUCUCCUUCGUGCAAUCCCUCUGGGGUACCGGUACUCAACCCAGGUACCAAUACUCAACACUAAAAUCCUGCACUUUGCAGAUUUCAGUGUCAGACUCCAACUCGCACUGCGCCGAGUUCGUUUCGCGUCAAUUUCAUGCCAAAACGACUCCGACUCGUCCCGACACUCUCCAGACGUGUCGACAAGCCCCAAAUACUGUAGUCACUUAGACAGUUAAACCUCAGGCACACUACACUAUCCUAAUACAUCAAUUUAAUGUCAUUGGGGCAGCCGCACAAUUAUUCCGUCAAAACAAAAAGUCGAGAUCCCGAAAAUUAUCGGUUUGGCUCUCGGGGUGCCUUUUUCGGCACCAAAGUCACCCGCAGCCAUCAUGUUGUGACCAGAGGUGUCACACCUCGCCCAACACCAAUCAAUAAGGUUCCUACCCUACUGCGGACAGCAGCAAUUCGCGUGACACAAAAUCGCUCGAUUUCGGCAUUUUGGGGUCCAGAUAAGUCACAAAGCAUUCCGAACGACUCCAAAAUUAAUUCGGCCUUUCACACUACCCCAAAACACUUACUUUUUGGUGUUGGACAAGCCACACGCUAGGUGGUGCGAUUCGAAUGUGAAAUCGCCAAAAUUCGUUAUGCGAGUUACCAAAAUUGCCAUUUUCGGCUUCGGAACCCAUCUAGGGUCAUUCGUUGGUCCGUGUUUCACACCAGCGACUACCCAACCAGUCCACCAUGCCAUUCAACCGUUGCAACCAGCAGUGAACACCCGCUCCUAAACCGGAGCCCAAGAAGCACAUAAAAUAUGUUCUGAAACGCCAUUGUGGGCGUCAAUCGCCGCGAGGACCGAACCAAGGGAUCCCCAAGCUUCAAACAUACAAACACUCUAAAACCAAGCCUUUGCUGCCUGGGAUAGCUACGACGCAAAAAGCGUCACUAAGGCAAUUCGUCGAACACUCGGCGCUCAUAAAUUACUAUAGUAAAGCAACGUUCAAGGAUUUAUCGUUGACUCCGUGACUACAGAAUCCCAACCAAGGUACUUUUCAGAAGGUUUUGACAACUCGGAUAUGAUGCUCGCUAUCUGGAGUAGAUCCGAGCACCGUGGAGGGUGCUCGAGCAAGAUGUCCACUAAGCCAAAGGAUACUCGGGAGCGACAUCGAGGGUAGAGCAACCAGUUGCCCCCACCAUCCAUUUGAGUGAGAAUGGUGCUGUAGCAGCACAUAGGAUGAUCAUGCUCCCCUUCGACAAGGUCGAUGAUACCCUGAUCUGUCGAAACAGUGACUUUAACCCUAAAGCCCGCGAGUCCAAGCCUUGAUGGGGGAAUCUAUGGCAUCAUAGGUUUCUCGGCUAGGUUUGGUAAAAGGGCGGCCGGCACCGGCCCAGGAAGGGUCCUUGCUGGUGACAGAAAAGUGGCGGUGGCUAGAUCUGUUCAGAUCUGACCGAGCCUCUUUCAGCUCGGGCUCGACCUCAAGUUUGGGCUCGUGCUUGGUCUUGGGCUCGCACUCGGGCUCGGGGCGGCAGCCGAGCCGAGAGAAGGUCGCUGAACUCUUACCCCAACGACAGCAGUAUUGGCGACGACGGCUAAGGAGGAGUAGAGCUGGCUGAGCACCUCGAUGCUCGAUUCUAGAUCCUAUCCGCCUAGCUCGGGGAGGUUCAAGCCGCCGGGCAUGGUCGAAGGAGGCCCUCCGGGGUGGCAAGGACGGCGGUAGUGGCGGGCGGCGGCGCGGUAGCUAGAGAGCACCCCCAGAGAGAGAGAGAAUAAGAGAAAAUAAGAGAGAGAUUCAGCGAGUGAGAGAGAGAGGAGGGAAGAAGGGAUAUCGCCGACGGAGGGCAGAGGCGGCGCGACGACGGUGGGGAGGAGAUAGGAUCUAGGGUGGUUCACCAUCUGUCCAUACAUACAUACAAACAUACAUACAAACAUACAUACAUACAUAUAUACAUAUAUAUAUAUAAUUAUAUAUAUAUAUAUAUAUAUAUAUAUANUCAAUAUUUUUAUUUUUUUAAUUAUCUAUUUGUCGUGCGAAUCUCUCGUCAUCGCUUUUUUUAUCACCAUUUUAUUAUAUAUAUAUAUAUAUAUAUAGAGAGAGAGAGAGAGAGAGAGAGUUGAGCUGGAAUGCUAUCGAUAGCAAACGGGCCUAUUGCCACCAAUUUGUUUUCGAUGAUGGAGCCUUUAAAUCGACGAUCUGCACCGUUGAACAUGAUCUAUACCACUUGAAGUAUCUAGAAAUCAAAGUUCAAAUCUUUUCGACGUCAUGGACCUAAUGAUCAAAGGGUUUCAAAAUUUAUAAUUUUAAUGAAUCGAUAGAUAUGAGGCGCUUUCUCAUUUAAUGGUGAAAAGCUAUCCAAAUCAAUUGAAUUUUGGUUAGAAAAUUCUUUAAACUAUUUAGAACAAGAUCUAUACUCUUGAUCUUGAUUACGAAAUUUCUUUAAUCACUUUUUAGAGGAUAUUCAUUUUCAGCCGUUCAUUUUUACGCUCACUUGAUGGACAAGAGAAUAAUAUCGAAAAAGCAUAAAAUUUGAUUUCUAAAUACUUCAUGUGGUGUACAUCAUUUACAACGGUGCCGAUCGUCAAUUUGGAGACUCCAUCAUCAAAAACAAAUGGGUGGCAACGGAGCCCGUUUGCUACCGAUAGUAUUCCAGCUCAACUAUAUAUAUAUAUAUAGAGUUGUGCUGGUAUGCUUAUGGAAGCACGGAGGCCUCCGUGCUUCCAAGUUGUUUUCGAUAUUCGGACUUUCGAAUCGACGAUCGGCUCCGUUAGAGUUGAUCUAGAGUAUUUGAAGUACCUAGAAAAUAAAUUUUGCGAUUUUUCGAUAUCAUUUGCCUAGUGAUCGAACGGGCUCAAAAUCAAUAAUUUUAUAACGGCGUGUGUGAGCCGGUUGCAAGUUUAACGGUGUAGAAAUAUUCAAAUCACAUGAAAUUUUGAUAGAAAAUUCUUUAUACCAUAUAAACAAGAUCAAUAACUUUGAUCUAAAUUUUAAUGUCAUAUCAUCAUAUUUUGUUAGUUUUUAUUUUCAGCCGUUGAUUUUGAGCCACUUCGAUCACUAGGCAAACGAUAUCGAAAAAUCGCAAAAUUUAUUUUCUAGAUACUUCGAAUAGCUCUAGACAAGUCUAACGGAGCCGAUCGUCGAUUCGAAAGUCCGAACAUCAAAAACAAAGUGGAAGCACAGAGCCCUCCGUGCUUCAUAAGCACCAAGCUAGCUAUAUAUAUAUAUAUAUAUAUAUAGCUAGGCUGGCAUACUAUCGGUAGCACCGAGGUCUCCGUGCUACUAAGUUGUUUUCAAUGAUGCAGCUUCCAAAUCGACGAUCGGUUCCGUUAGACUUGAUCUAAACUAUUGAAAUAUUUAGAAACUAAAUUUCAUAAUUUUUCGGUAUUAUUUACCUAGCAAACGAGUAGUCUAGAAAUGAACGACUAAAAAAAAAAAUCUCAUAAAAAAUAAUGAUAAAAGACUUGAAUUUAAUAUCAGAGGUACUGAUUUUACUCUAAAUAGUGCAAAAAAAAAUUUAUAGAAAUUUCAUCAGGUUUGGAUUAUUUUACACAGUUAAAUUCACAAACGCAUCACAUCUACCAUUAAAAUUGUCAAUUUUGAGACUUUUUUAACACCAGCCAAAUGAUGCUGAAAAAUUAUGAAAUUUAGUUUCCAAAUAUUUUUAAUAGUGUAGAUCAAGUUUAACGAAGACGAUUGUCGAUUUAGAAGCCGCAUCAUUGAAAAUAACUUGGUAGCAUGAAGGCNNNNNNNNNNNNNNNNNNNNNNNNNNNNNNNNNNNNNNNNNNNNNNNNNNNNNNNNNNNNNNNNNNNNNNNNNNNNNNNNNNNNNNNNNNNNNNNNNNNNNNNNNNNNNNNNNNNNNNNNNNNNNNNNNNNNNNNNNNNNNNNNNNNNNNNNNNNNNNNNNNNNNNNNNNNNNNNNNNNNNNNNNNNNNNNNNNNNNNNNNNNNNNNNNNNNNNNNNNNNNNNNNNNNNNNNNNNNNNNNNNNNNNNNNNNNNNNNNNNNNNNNUCUCUCUCUCUCUCUCUCUCUCUCUCUCUCUCUCUCUCUCUCUCUCUCUCUAUAUAUAUAUAUAUAUAUAUAUAUAUAUAUAUAUAUAUAUAUAUACCGAAAGUGGAAGAAUUGCACAAAAGUCCUCCUAGCACCUAAGAAUUCUACACCUAUCCCAUAUUAGCAUAAGAAUAUUUUCAUCUUAGUCCCUCACUGCACUAUCGUGUGCAUUUUGAUACCCAAAAUGCCGCGUUUCUGUCCGAAAGGCCUCUCAAUCGCAAACUCUUUUACGACUUCAUCUCAAUACCAUUUUGCAUAGGUAAACCUAAUCCUCUCUGAGUCUACUUUCAUGUACAUCCCUCCGCUCACCUAGACUGUAUAAUUUCUCACAUAAAAUAAUAACCUCUUCGCAAAGUGCUCAAUUUUGACAUUUUGCAAAAAUAGCAAUUUAGCACUGCAAUCAUUGAAUUUUGUUCCAAAAACUCACCUGCGUGUGUAAUAUGCCCAAUGGCACCGACCCAUUAUUUUUCAAGCAAAACGAAACAUCGAACACGUCUAAAAAGUAAGAACAUCGAGCAAUCAAAGGCCAAUCUAUGAUAAACUCUGAUUUUCUCGAAAACUUGCAUCGAACAUAAAUCGAUCAGUGCCAUCACCUCCGGCAUAGCUGGACCAUCGAAAAACACCUAUUGGGUCGUCCAAAAUGGAGUCCAAUUUAUGUCCGAAGCCAUUCUCAACUGGGUCGUCCAAAAUGGAGUCCAAUUUAUGUCCGAAGCCAUUCUCAACGCGAUGCCUCAAAAUAAAAUGUAAGUUAUUAUUCACGUAAGUGAAUAGUAUCCAACACCUUAAGCCUCAAAUAAAAACUCUUUUAUCUCCGAAAUUAAACCAAAAAUUCCAAAAAAGAAGUACCUAAUAUAACCCACUGUAAGGCACCAAUUUACACCAUAAAAAUCUCAGUUCUCACACAAAGAGGAAAGAUAGAGAGAUAAAAACAGUAAACAAAGAGAGAAAAGAGAUGUUAGAUAAUAUAAUAAGGGCAAAAAUACUUAAUUACGCUCUGUUUAUGUCAAAAAUUAGCGUGCCAUAAGAUAGAUAGCCUGGUUCAUGUAUGAGCCAAAGAAAUAAGGACACGUGGUACACUAGGAGCCGACAAUAAAGGGCCAGAAGGUGGAAAGACCUCAGGCAGGAACGGUUGAGAAGUGGGGCGUAAUUAACUAACGCGAUCAUGGUUACAGCUCUUUCCCCACUACUAAAACCAAUCAAUAAUGUGCGCUAAUAAGAUAUUAAUAUAAAUAGUGAUUUCGAAGUCUGUAAUAGAGGUCUUUCUUCCCUAUAAACGAGAAAGCCAUUGUAUUUUCAAUACUUCUAAUUUCAACAUUUCUAGUUUUUUGAGUAGUUUACUUGUAAUUUUUAUUCUUUUAGCAUUUACAGCUAUUUUAGUCGUAGUUUUCUUCUAAAUUUUUCUCUUUCGACAUUUACAGUUUUUCUAAGAGUAGUUUACUUAUAAUUUUUACUCUUUUAACAUUUACAACUUUUUCUAAAAGCCUUAACUGUACUUGUAACCCAAGCUUUCCCACAAUACAAACAAUUCGGUUCAUCCAACUGAGUCUUCGAUCAGCCGAAUACCUUGAGUCUUUAUGUGACACCCCAAUAGUCCCACAUCGGAUGGAAAUGGGGUUGUCAUUGGGUUUAUAAGAGACUUAGACACUAGUAAUAAUAACUCGGCUUAAGGAUUUUGGGCUGUUGGUUAGGCCCAACGAGUUAUUAUUGCUAGUGGGCUGGAUCGUUACAUUUGGUAUCAGAGCCGGUUCACCAGCUGGACAUGUGUGGCGAGUCUCGGCUGAGCCAGGAUCUGGAUGACGGGCUAGCGAGACGAAUCUCACAUCGCCUGGUGAUCUUGAGCUAUGUAUGAUUGGACUGACGAGAACGUCAGGGCCUUAACGGGGGGGGAGUCUGUGACACACCAAUAAUCCCACAUCGGAUGAGAAUAGGGUUGUCAUUGGGUUUAUAAAAGACUUAGACACUAGUAAUAAUAACUGGACUUAAGCAUUUUGGGCUGUUGGCUAGGCCUAACGAGUUAUUAUUGCUAGUGGACUGGGUCGUUACACUUUAGCUUUAAUUAAUGAAGUGAGAUAGAAUCCGAUUGAGUCGAUCCCUCCUUAACUGAAUCGUUUGAUUUGAUCGUGGUGUAUUCAAUGGUCAAUUCAGAAGCCAAACUAGAUCCCGGCGUGAUACUAAAGCAUCGCCUUGCGUUUGGUUCCUAGUCCAACACCCUCGUACUAAAAAACAAAAAUAAUUCUAUUUGGGGUACCUAGUAAUCGGUACCAUUCUCAAGUUGAUAUUCAAUAUGCGGGUCACAAGUUAAAAAAAAAAAAGAAAAAAGAAAAGAAAAAAACACUCCUCUUAAAUGUUUUAUUAGUGCAAUCGCCAAUAAAUUCAUUCAUCUACUCUUGUACUCUUCACUGGAAUUGUAACAAAAAAUUCUAUGGGCAGCGUGCCCAAACUAAUUAGUUUGGGCACGCUGCCGGAUGGGCGCCGCCUGGCACAGGUGCCACGCGGCGCCCAUCCACCAUCUCUCUCCAGUAAUGGGGAGAGCACUGGAACUUUCUGGGUGCACCUGGUGCAUCUAUACCAGGUGCACCAUAAUUAUAAUUUUAAAUUUUUAGUUUUUAAAAUUAUAAUUUUAUGUAUAUUUAUUUAUUUUUUUUACUAGUUAUCAUUGUAGAAAUUAAAAUUUUAAAUUCUGUUUGGUUUUGAAAAAAAAUUAGGAAUAAUAAAAAUUAUCCAUGCUAUUCCAUGAAACCAAAAAUAAAUUUAUUUUAAAAUUUUAAUUUUCUAAAUCGAUAUCAUGAAUUAUAGACCAUAAAAUUUUAAAUCAUAACAUAUAUGCUAACAUAUUAAGUUACAAUUUUAAAAAUUUAAAAAAUUACAAUUAUGGUGCACCUGGUAUAGAUGCACCAGGUGCACCCAGAAAGUUCAGUGCUCUCCCAUUACUGGGAGAGCAGUGGUGGAUGGGCGCCGCGUGGCACCUGUGCAAUGCGGCGCCCAUCCGGCAGCGUGCCCAAACUAAUUAGGUUUUUGGGCACGCUGCCCAUAGAAUUUUUGUCCACUGGAAUUGGUGUGCGCUUUGGUCUCUGGACAUCUACAUUUAUUACACUUUUGUACCUUGCGCUGUAAAUGUUUAUAGACCAAAUCGUACGCGAAUUUAAGUAAAGAGUACCAGAGUAGAUGAAUGAAUUGAUACACGAUCGCACUAAUAAAAUAUUUAAAUUAAAUCUUUUAAAUUACAUCAUUAAUUAUGGGGAAAACUUCAAAAACCCCCCUGUGGUUUCAUGCAUUCUCACUUUAGUACCCUGUGGUUUAAAACGUAUCAAUUUGCCCCCCUGUGGUUUCGUUUUUAUCUUUUCAAAAGCUUUUUCGUUAAUAUUUCGUUAAAUUAUAUACAAAAAACUUCAGAUAACCAUCUAUGUUUAUCGAAUAUUCACUUUAGUAUCCUUUAAUUUUAAUUUUGUCACUGAUUUAAGAAAAAAAAAUAAUAAAAUUGAUAACAAAAAGAGAAAAAUGAAAUCACAUGGAGGCAAAUUGAUACGUUUUAAACCACAGGGUAUGAAAGUGAGAAUGCAUGAAACCACAGGGGGGGUUUUUGGAGUUUUCCCUUAAUUAUGAUUAUGAUCUUUCUUGCCCAAAAAAAAUAAUUAAGACAAAUUUUCUUACAACAAUAAUUAAAAUAUAUAUAUAUAUAAAUUAAUAUUACAUGGUUUAGUCACCGACCGGCCUUAGAGCAAGUGGCAAAAGGCUUGGUGGUUGGUACCCGAGAUCAGAUUUUAGUUGAUUCAUAUUUUCAGCUAAAUUUAUUUUUAAAUAAAAAAAUAUAUUAAAAAAAAUUGUAUGGUUCAGUCGUUUCUUAUGUAGAGAGUUAUAUUCCACAAUACAAAAACAAAAAUAUAAACUUACAUCUUAUAUAUAACAUUUUCGAACCAAAAAUUAAGAUACUUAUGGUGAAACCUAUUCGCCUCUUAUUGUUCUAAUAAUAGAGAAAAAAAACUCCAACAAAAUUUCUAAAAGAGCUUUUCAAAAUAUCUUAAUUAGGAAAGACAAAAUUAAAGAAAUAUAAAAUUUCUGACCAAAGUCUUUUAUGUUAUUGUUGCUUCUGACGAAACCGAACCGAUUAUUCUUUUUUUUUUGUACCAACAUGUUCAAAAUUAUAAGCUAAUUAAUCAUGAAAAAUCACACAUUUUUAUUACAUAUCUUUUCGCUGCAAAAUUUAUGUUACAAUUGCUCGAAUUCUAUCUUUGUCUUGUUUUACAAACUUUUUUGAUCCGCCAAAAUUCGCCUCUAUUGUUAACACAUUUUUCUUCUUCAGAGUUGAUAUUUCACGUUACGAAUCGACUGGUUCGCUAUGAGAGUCGAUCACAGAAAUAGAACACCUAGGGUUUCUGACGAUGCCCUAGAACGAAGCAAAGAAAGAGAAAAACUCUGUUGACAGAUAAUUCCGAUUUUUUUUUCUUUUAUAUUAUUUGUCAUUUGUCACCAAUGCCUCGUGUAUUUAUAAGCCAUAUAAGAUGUAUUAAUGCUAAUCUGAUACUAAUCGGAUCUCUCAAAAAUAAAAAUUUAAAUAAAAUAGAAUUUAUAUUUUACAAUUAUUCUUUCUUUCAUAUGGAUUAAAAUAAUUUUAAAUAAGUCACAAUGUGAACGAAUUCCAGCACAAACAAAAAAAAAAUCCCCAAAAAAUUAAUCGAACGAGAGCUUUCCGCGAAACCUUAAUUCGAAAAGAUUAAAGAAAAAAAUGUAUAAAAUUUCUGAUAAAAUAUUUUCACAUUAUUAUUGCAUCAGACAAAAUCUUUCCUAUUUUACUUUUUUAAGAAAAAUUCUUUCAUAAAAUUUCUGACUAAAAUUUUUUUUGCUCGUUGCUUGAACCGCUUAUGUAUUCAAACUUUCGUACGUAAAUUAUGCCACCAUUUAAUUUGCUAAUUUAAUUGGCCCCACCAUCCAGGGGCUCCUAUCCCAAUGCGUGUUUGUAAAUUUGCAUAAACCCGGUCCAUAUGCCGAGUUUGAACUUUGAACACCACUGGGAUUGGAUCAUUGGACAAUGGAACUCCAAUAGGAAACCAACGAUACUUGUAUAAAUAUGUAGAGAUAAUUGCCUUAUAUACUCCUCAAAACUUCGAAAAUAUUUUAUUUACUUUUACUCUUUUUUUUCUUUUUAAUAUAUUCCUCAUAUGUUCCUUCGUUAUUCCCAAAUAUUCAUAUAGUUACUAUCCGUUAAGUUAACUUGGGUUAAACGUGAGUUAAAUAUCUACUAGAGUUAAAAGAAAUCAAAAUGUCUCUUUCGUCCUUAAUUUAAAGACAAAUAAGAAAUAUUGGUGAUGAUAAAAGAGUAUAUUUGAAAAGACCAAAAAUCAAAAUAUUUUUGUGCCUUCUAACUUAAGGGCAAAUAAGAAAAAUCGGUGAUGGCAGAAGGGUAUAUUUGAAAAGGCAAAAUAUUAAUUUCAUACAGAUAACAGGUAUUGCUAACAGUUUAUUAACAGAAUUUAACUCAGCGGUAUAUUUGAAGUAGGUUGGAACAUAAAAAAAAUAUUUUCAAUAUUAGCCUUCUAAGAGAGGUAAAUUAGAAAGUCGAAAACUUUUUAAGGGUAUAUAAAUAAUAAUUACCCCAAAUAUAUAAUAAGAAUUCAGUUACUAUACUUUUAGAAAGACAGAGGCCUUCAUCCUCCUAAGUCGUUUUAAAUGAUAGAAAUUUCAAAUUAAUGAUCGAAACCGAUAAAGUUGAUCUAGAAUAUUUAAAGUAUUUAGAAACUAAAUUUCAUAAAAUUUAAAAAUUAUUUACAUAACGAUCAAAAAAUCAAAAAAUCGAUAGUUUUUUACGGUCGAUGUGAGCGGUUUAGCUAAUGUUUGAUAACUCCGAUCAUGAAUCGAAAAAGUAUGACAUCUAUUUUCACAAGGUUAUUUAUUUUUGACCAUUCAUUUUUCGACUCUUCAAUGAAUUUGAUAACAAAUUUUAAAAUUUAUACAACUUAGUUUCUAAAUGUUAUAAGUACUUUAAAUCAAUUUUAACGGUUCCGAUUACCGAUUCGGAAUUCCUAUCAUUUAAAAUGACUUAGAAGGACAAAAGUAUAGUUAGUUAAUUCGGAUUCGGCAAAAAUUAGUUACGGGUAUAAUUUGAAUAAAAUUUGUAUCUCAAUUUUUAAAUUCGUUGAAAGAUAUGGCUUAAAAAAUAGAUUCGCCAAGUAUGCAGAUACGCGAUUUAUAUGAAAAUUAUACGUUCACCAAUUAAAAAUUCAGCUAUUAAACUAAGUUUUUUCUCUAGAUUUAUGCUAUUAGGAUACAUAGUUAUAAAUCUUAAUAAGAAUAUAAAAAUAGAAAGCUACAAAAUAAAAUAGAUUAAGUAAAAAAAGUAAUAGCAAAAUUUAUUAUCGUCUCCAUCUUUAUUUUUUUCAUGAUCCACAUAUUCCGAAAGUUCAUAAAGCUUUUCAAUAAUUCACGAAUUAUUGGCGAAUAAUUCGGCAAUAAUUCGGAAAGUAAUUUUACUCAAAAAUUUUGCACUUUUUUGGCCAAAUAGUUCGGCAUAUGUGAAUUAUUCACGAAUAAUAACUUUAAUCCAAAAAUUCGAGUUUUAUUCCCUUUUUUUAGAAAUAAAUCAUGUACAGACUAUUUUAUUUAUAUUUUUAAUAAUUCGUAAAUAAUUCGCAAACAAUUUAUGAAUUAACUAAUUAUGGACGAAAGCCACCGCCCUCGUAAAAGAAUAAUAGCUGGAUACUGCGUGAGAGGAGGAUGACCAGCAUAUUUAUGUGGAGAAAACUUGUCUUAUUUACAUUUAUUACAGUUUGGUGCCUUGCACUGUAGAUGUUUAAAGACCAAAUCAUACACCAAUUCAAGUGAAGAGUACAAGAGUAGGUGAAUGAAUUGAUACACAAUUGUACUAAUAAAAUAUUGAAAUUAAAUCUUUUUAAAUUGCAUCAUUACUAUCUUUCUUGCCCAAGAAAAAUAAUUAAGACAAAUUAUCUCUACAUCAAUAUUUGAAAAAUAUGAAUAUAAAAAAUUAAUAUUUAUGUAGUCCUGCAAUUGGUUAUGUCAACCGAAAAAGCAUGAAAGAUGUAUUCCAUCAUACGAAAAAAAAAAAAAUACAAGUUUAUUGCUUAUAUCUUUUUGAAACCAAAAAUUAAGAUCCUUACUGUGAAACCUACUUUUUUCUUAAAUUUUAAUGAAAAAAAAAACCUCCAAAACAAAUUUUUCAAAAAAAGCUUUUCGAGAAAAUCUAAUUAGAAAAGAUAAAACUAGAGAAAUAUAAAAUUUCUGACCAAAUUAAAGUCUUCUUUUAUAUUGUUGUUGCUUCUGACGAAACUGAUUCUUCUUUUUUAAUUUGUAUCAUCAUGUUGGAAAUUAUGAGCUAGUUCAUAAUGAAAGAUUAUAAAUUUUUAUAUAUAUUUUGCUGCAGAAUUUAUAUUGCAAUUAUUAGGAUAUGAUCUCGGCUUGUUUUACGAAGUUUUUGUUCGGCCAAAAUUCGCCUUUAUUGUUAGAAAAUGUGGACAAAUCCUAACACAAUAAAAAACUAAUUGAAAAGAGCUUUACUUUCUUAAAACCUUAAUUCGAAACUAUUAAAUUAGAGAAGAAGGAUAAAAUUUCUGUCCAAAAUAUUUUAUAUUAUUGUUGCAUUAAGACAGCCCGAAGGAUAAAAUUUCUGGAACUAGGCUACUAUACUAUCAGUAGCACGGAGCGCUCCGUGCUACCAAGUUGUUUUCGAUGAUGCGGCUUCUAAAUCGACGAUCGGCUCCGUUAGACUUGAUCUACACUAUUGAAAGUAUUUAGAAACUAAAUUUCAUAAUUUUUCGAUAUCAUUUACCUAUCAAACAAGUAGUCUAAAAUUGAACGGCUGAAAAUAAAAAUCUCAUGAAAAAUGAUGAUAACAGAUUUAAAUUCAAGAUCAGAUAUACUGAUCUUACUCUAAAUAGUGAAAAGAAUUUUUUAUAAAAUUUUCAUCGCAUUUGGAUUGUUUUACACCGUUAAACUCACAAACACACCACAUCGGCCAUUAAAAUUGUCAAUUUUGAGAUCUUUUGAUCACUAGUCAAAUGAUGUCGAAAAAAUUUGAAAUUUAGUUUCCAAAUACUUUCAAUAGUGUAGAUCAAGUCUAACGGAGCCGAUCGUCGAUUUGGAAGCCGCAUCAUCGAAAACAACUUGGUAGCACAGAGCGCUCCGUGCUACCGAUAGCAUAGUAGCCGGACUCAAAUUUCUAUCCAAAAUAUUUUAUAUUAUUGUUGCAUUAAGACAGCCCAUUCUUUUUUGCAUAAACUUCAAAUAUCACACCUAUAGUUUCGCACUUUCUCAGUUUAGUACAUAUCAUGUAGUUUAAAUUGUAUCAAUUUAGUGUCCUGUAAUUUUAUUUUUAUCUUUUCGUCAGAUUUUUAUCGUUUCGUUAAAUAAGUGACAGAGUGAAAGCUAAAAAGUAUUAAAGUACAUAUUCAAUAAACUUAGCUGGUGUUGAUGCCGAAAUUGAAAUUAACAUGCCGACCUAGCCUACGUAUGAGCCGAAGAAAUAAGGACACGUGGUACACCGAGAGUCGGCAAUAAGGCGCCUGAAGGCCAAGAGCGUUUAGGCAGGAACGGUUGAGAAGUGGGGCGUAACUUUUAUGUGAAGUGGGACAUAACUUCCAUGUGAAGUAGGACGUAACUUCCAUGAGAAGUGGGGCGUAACUUCCACGAUCAUGGUUACAACCACCCCCCCAACCAACCAAAAAUGUGGGCUCAGAAGAUAUCACUAUAAAUAGUAACUUCAAAGCCUGUAAUAAGGGUCUUUCUCCAUCCUGAACGAGAAAACCACCCUUAUUUCCUCUGCAUUUUAUCGCUUUUCUAGGAGUAGUCUAAAUGUAAUUUUUUUCUCUUCCGCAUUUACUGUUUUUCUAGGAGUAGUUCGCUAAGUAGAACCCUGGAGUCUGUCUGCCCCACGGGCAUAACUCCGUUGUAGACUACAUUUUCAGAGUCUGUCUGCCCCACGGGCAUCACUCUGUUGUAAACUAUAUUUCUGAGUCUGUAUGCCCUUUGGGCACACUCUUUUUUAUUAUUAUAUAUAUUUAGGCAUUCGGCUCUUUCAGCUGACCAGUCAUUGUGUAUUUCAUUUAUUCGGCUCUUUCAGCCGACCAGUUACUGUGUACUUCUUUCAUUCGGCUCUUCUGCCGACAUUAAUCCCUGCACAGUUCAUACAUUCGGCUUCUCCAGCCAAACCAGCUUUAUAGUGAAGAUUUUCGGACCCGGCUGGCUCGAUCCCUCGUCAACCGAAUCGCUUGAUCUGUCGAAGGGCGUAGACUUCGAGGGUCACCAUCCGCAGCCGCUCCCUGAGGAGGAUCUUUGACCGUGUCAAGGGUCGGAAAAUUCGGCUUCCAACAAUUUUUUGGCACGCCCGGUGGGACUCGAUUUUAGGUAAAUUCACAUUUUUAUUGAAAUUAUAGCUGAUGAUAAUUCCAUAAAUUUGCGUAAUAGGGUUGUUCCUAGAAAUUCUGGGAGUGAUCAACCUAGUGAUUCAGACAAUACUGGCAAAUGUCAAGCAGUUUUGCCAGUUGAAGGAGAAACUAGUGGACAGUAGGCUUAUCAAGAGCCGAGUCUAACUCAGGCACUCGGCCAGAUGAGCCGAGUCCUGCAAACUUUAGCUCAAAAUAUCCAUCAAAGUACCGCUUGACUAGACGCGGUGCUGGCCGCCAUCACGGCCUAUAAUGAAAAUAUUGUUCGAAUCAGACAAUUAUUUAUCCGAAACGAGCAACCUUAUGGGGGGCAACAAGGGCCCCUAAAUGUGCCGGUGCAACAAAAUUCCGUCACGCCGGCGGUCUCACAUGUGCAACCGCAAAUGUCACCUUUCCAGACUGCUUAUAGGCCAGCGAAUAUCAACCCCAGCCCGCAGUCGGAUAUUACAUCAGGUUUACCUCCUUUACCAGUUUAUCAGUCUAAAAAUGUGGGGAUUAGAGCUGAGGGGCAGGCUUUGAACAUGCAAGGAGUUAACCCUGUUAUACCGAAUUUCGGUCUACCGCAAAAACCGAAUGUAGUACAAGCACAGAUUCCUUUGUAGGGAAACAAUAAUGAAAUAUACGCACAAAUUGAAGAAGCUAUCCAAAAUACUUUCGGAGUUAGCUCAAGGCCGGUAGUGCGGCCUGUAUUUCGUUCCCCUUAUCCCGUAAGUAUAGACGCAGAACAUCCAUAUCCGGCAAACUGGAAAAUGUCGAAAUUCGACAAGUUCUCGGACGAUGAGACCGAGAAUACGGUCGAGCAUGUAGCCUGGUUCACGGCCCAAUGUAGAGAGGUGGCCGCCGACUCAUUUUUGAAACUUCGAUUAUUUAACACGUCGUUAACUAAAACGGCUUUUACUUCAUAUACAAGUUUAUCAGCCAAUUCCGUCCAAGAUUGGGACGAAUUAGAAAGAAAAUUUCAUGAGUGAUUCUAUAGGUAAGAGCCAUAAUUAUCUGUCGUCGACUUGGCUUUAUACCGACAAAUGUCAGGUGAAACGGUCGAAGAGUAUUUGAACCGUUUCAAGAUAGCCAAAACCCGGUGCUUUAUGAGAAUGCCGGAAUCAGAGUUCGCCAAAAUGGCGUUAAAUGGUCUGCAUUUUAAGAUAAAAGACCAUUUUGAAGAUAAGUAUUUUUCUAACCUAUUUGAUCUAGGUGUUCGAGUUGCCAAAUAUGAGCAAUUUCAGAAGAAAAGUGAGGACGAUCGGCUGCAAUGGAGCCGAUAUAAAAAGCAAAGCAAAGGCAAAGAGAAAUCCUUGAUAGAAGAACAGUCGGUUAAAGAAGAGCCGAGCCAAUCGAGUGAAAGUGAAGAAUCGGCUGAUGAAGCCGAGGUAUAUGCGACUGGUAAAGAGCCAUUUUCUUUAAGGAGAAAUCUUUGAUAGAAGAAUAUUCGUUUCAAAAAGAGCCGAACCAAUCAAGUAAAAGUAAAGAAUCGGCUGAUGAAGCCGAGGUAUAUACGGUUGGGAUGAUAAAGAGACGUUUUCUUAAAGCCGACCAAGACCAGCGAAACUAAAGCUUGGGUCUCGGUUGUGUCAUUUGAACAGUCAAUUUGGCACCAAUAGUCAUCCGAAUGUUCAUUCGAAAGACUAUUGGGGGGGCAUUGUUGAUGCCAAAAUUAAAAUUAACAUGCCGACCUAGCCCACGUAUGAGCCGAAAAAAUAAGGACACGUGGUACACCAGGAGUCGCCAAUAAGGCGCCUGAAGGCCAAGAGCGUUUAGGCGGGAACAGUUGAGAAGUGGGGCGUAACUUCCAUGUGAAGUGGGGCAUAACUUCCAUGUAAAGUGGGACGUAACUUCCAUGAGAAGUGGGGCGUAACUUCCACGAUCAUGGUUACAAUCACUCUCCCAACCAACCAAAAAUGUGAGCUGAGAAGACAUCACUAUAAAUAGUAACUUCAAAGCCUGUAAUAAGGGUCUUUCUCCAUCCUGAACGAGAAGACUAUCAUUAUUUCCUCUGCAUUUUAUCGCCUUUCUAGGAGUAGUCUAAAUGUAAUUUUUUUCUCUUCCGCAUUUACUGCUUUCCUAGGAGUAGUUCGCUAAAUAGAACCUUGGAGUCUGUCUGCCCCACGGGCAUCACUCCGUUGUAGACUACAUUUGCAGAGUCUGUCUGCUCCACGAGCAUCACUCUGUUGUAAACUAUAUUUCUGAGUCUGUAUACCCUUCAGGCGCACUCUUUUUUAUUAUUAUAUAUAUAUCUAGGCAUUCGGCUCUUUCAGCCGACCAGUCAUUGUGUAUUUCAUUUAUUCGGCUCUUUCAGCCGACCAGUUAUUGUGUACUUCUUUCAUUCUGCUCUUCUGCCGACAUUGAUCCAUGCACAGUUCAUACAUUCGGCUCCUCCAGCCGAACUAGUUUUAUUGUGAAGAUUUUCGGACCCAGCUGGCUCGAUCCCUCGUCAGCCGAAUCGCUUGAUCUGUCGAAGGGCGCAGACUUCGAGAGUCACCACAUCCGCAACCGCUCCUCACCCCGACGCGCUCCUAGAGGAGAAUCUUUGACCGGGUCAAGGAUCGGAAAAUUCGGCUUCCAACAGCUGGAGUAUCUGAAAUUUUUGUAUAUAAUUUAAUAGAUGAGUUGACAAAAAGAGAAAAAUGAAACUAUAAGGCACUAAUUAAAUAAUAUAUUAUAAAUUAUAGAAUACUAAAGUGAGAAAAUACGAAAUCAUAUGCUAUUUGAAGUUUUUUUAUUUUUUGUUUAUACGAGGGAGAGAAAAAAACCUUUUAUAAAAUUUUGUACCAAAACUUUUUAUGUUGUUGUUUCGUACGAAGCCGAAUCAUUUGUGCAAUUAGUCGACAUUAACUCUGCAUUCAAACUGUCGUACACUCUUUUUUUUUUCUCUCUUUUCUGUAACGUACGAAUACUAUGCCACUAUUUAAUAAGCUCCAAUUAAUAUCCAUGGGUUCCUAUGCCUAUGCAUAUUUAUUAUUCUUCCCAUAAACCCGGUUCAUAUGCCGAGUUUGAGAACCAAGGGGAUUGAACCAAGGAACUCCAAUAGAAAAAACCAACAACGCUUUUAUACAUGUAUAUAAUAUAGAGAUCGAGAGAGACAGAGAUCGAGCAGGAUUACUGUGCUAUUAGAAAUACAGUAAUUUUUAUACACCUAAAUUUUUAAUUAUUUAUUAAUUUUGAUGGAUAGUUAGGAUUAAUCUUUUGUUUUUUUUUCAUUUCUCUCUAUAUUUUUUCUCUCAGUUUCCCUCUUGUGCUCUCUGAAUUUCUCUUAUAUCUCUCUUAAUUUCUCUUCUCUCUUUCUCUCCGUGCAGACCCUCACCAUUUUGGGGGGGUGGGGAUCGAGUUAAUUGACGGUGGGAAGAUGGGUUGGGGUGGAGGUGAUUGUAGUAGGAAGUGCAAGAGAGAGCAGGAAAAAAAAAAAAGAAGAGAAAACAAUCUAGCCGUCCAUCAAUUUCGAUGGAUGGUUAGGAACUCAGUAGCACAAUGACUGCUAUGCUCUUAAUAAUAUAGUAGUCCUACUAUAUAUAUAUAUAUAUAGAUAGAGAGAGAGAAAGAGAGAGUCCAGCUAUGGUGCUUGUAAAAGCACCAAGCACUUGGUGCUUGUAAGUUUUUUACCGUUAGAUCUAUUUCUCGGAUUAUUUUCAACUAUUAGAUUAUACUAUUCAACCAACCAUCCACUAAACCCUAGGGGGCCCACAUCAUCUUAACCGCAUAUCUUUUAAUCCAAUAGCUAAAAAUCUACAAGCACCAAUAACUUGGUACUUUUAAAAGCAUAGGAGCUCAAUUCUAUAUAUAUAUAUAUAUAGAGUCCGGCUAUGGUACUUGUAAAAGUACCAAGCACUUGAUGCUUGUAAAUUUUUUAUCGUUAUAUCUCUGCCUUUGAUUAUUUUUACCCGUUAGAUUAUACUAUUCAACCAACCACUCGCUCAACCCUAGGGGGCCCACAUCAUCCUAACCACACAUCCCUUAAUCCAAGGGUCAAAAACUUACAAGCACCAAUGACUUGAUAUUUUUAAAAGCAUAGGAGCUCAAUUCUAUAUAUAUAUAUAUAUAUAUAUAUAUAUAUAUUAUAUAUAGAGAGAGAGAGAGAGAGAGAGAGGAGAGAGAGAGAAGAGAGAGAGAGAGAGAGAGAAGAGAAGAGAGAGAGAGAGAGUCGCGAUUACUAUCUUUAUAGAAUUAUAUUCCAUUGAUCAUCUUCCUUAUAACGAAAAUUUUCGGCCCCUAGAGUUUAUUCCAUUUAAUCAUUUUCACCCGUUAGAUCCAUUACUAUUCAACCAAAUACCCACUCAACCCUAGGGGUGAGGAUCGCCACUAUCAUUAUUCAAGUGGGGACCACUAUCAUCCUAACCGCACCAAUCCAUCAGAUCAUCGGUUAAAAAGUUUAUGAGUACACAGGGGUCUAUACUCAAAGAGUAAGUAGCCCCAAGCCUAUAUAUAUAAUACAUAACAGUAAUAUACUAUACAUAAUUAUAUAUAUAUAUAAUAAUAUAUAUAUUAUAUAAUGUUAUCCAAAUUUCAAAUUCGAAUUUAGAUUUUCUUAAUUUAAAAUCUAGAUACUUACAACAUAUCUGUUUUAUAUUUUUCUAUUUGUAUUUACUGAUAUCUCAUGACAAGUUAAAAAAUUUUAAAAUUUUAACUUUGUCAAUUUUUUAUCCUCUAUAGUAUUAGCCUGCUGCAAUGCACGGAUAAAGAGUGCUUCAUUAAUCACCCUAAUUAGAUAACUGACCUAUGUGAUUUUCUAAAUUAUCAACUACUAUUUCUUUUACCUUAUUUCUAUAGUUUCUUUUCUCAAUUAUUUCUCUUCCCAUCAAUUUCUUUUAUUCAUUAAUUUGUUGUUAAUUCUCCAUAUUAAUCACCCUAAUUAAACUUUUAAAUUUAAUUUUAGAUAACCGGUGACCUUCUACAUUAUAAAUCAAUAAUUUGAUUUAUGAAUGUAUAACUGACUUGAUUAUUUUGUUUUUAAUCUAUGGUUUAAUUAGCUAUUAUUUUCAUUUAUUUAUCAAAAUUAUUUCUUAUUAUCUAUUAAUUUUCUAUAUUUUUCUACUUUCUUUCUAUAAACUCCUCAUUAUAUUUAGCAACUCCCACAGAAUAAGGAUCCUCUAAAUUCCUUCAAAAUCUCUUUUAAAAAAAUGUUGUGAGAUGUGUAUAAUUAAUUUCCUAUCAUUUUGACAAUGAACAUAUGUCUUUUUUUUUCUUUCCUUUUUUUACGUUUCUAUAUGAUUUUUUCCAUCACUGAUCUUACUAAAUUCUCCUCUAUAUCGAAAAUUUAACUAAAGUAAUUAAAUAAGCAAACUAGAAAAUAAAUUUAAAAUUCGUGCAUCACACUGGUUAAUUAAUUGCUAGUUUCUAAUAGUACAUUGGUGCUAUUGUGUAAUUAAUUAGAAUUCAUUCCUGGCGUUAUUCAUCGAAUGUGAGAUGGUCCAUGAUGUGGAUGUGACAUCUCAAUAGUCCCACAUAGAAUAAAAUUGGGAUGGUAAUUAGAUAUAUAAGAGACCAUAAACACUAAUAACAAUAACUAAACUUAAGCAUUUUAGGCCUACGUAGCCGGUACGUAGCUUGGACCUAAUGAGUUAUUAUUACUAACGGAUCGGAUCAUUAAAUUUGGUAUCAUAGUCAAUUACCAGCCAGAAGUAUGAGAUGAGUUUCGACUAAGUCGGGAUCAGAAUAACAGGCUAAGUCAAGGUCGGAAUGACAAGAUGAUAUUCUAAAUAAAAAGAUUAACGAGACAAGUCUCACAUGAUAAUCGUGGGCUUGAGUCUCACAAGAGACUAUAGACACUAGUAAUAAUUACUAGACUUAAGUAUCUAACGAAUUAUUAUUACUAAUUGAUGGGAUCAUUACACUGAAUAUUUAAUAAGUAAUUUUGGACCCAACUAUUAUCAUCGCAAGCGGAUUGGAUCGUUACACUAGAUAUUUAAUUAGUAGGAUUCAUUAAAUAAGUGUGAGAUGGUCCAGGAUAUGGAUAUUCUAAGUAAAUGGCCAGCAGGAGCAACGCACAAAAGCUGAUGAAUGGUCAUUACAUUAUAUUAACAUACGAUAAUUUGCUAGUGCUAUCCCCACCUUUGUGUGUUUCUCUAUGUCAGUUUUUUAGUUGGACUAAAAACUAUUACGUCUUUGUGGUGGUCUCUCUCUCUCUCUCUCUCUAUUUCUCUCUCUCUCACCAACUAUGUGAGUUGUGCUAAAAACUAUAAUUGAAUAGGACAAAAACUAUUACUAGCUAGUUGUCCCUCUCUCUCUCCCUCUCUCACUAACUGUUUGAAUUGGCCUAAAAAGUACUUGAGUUGGACAAAAAAGUAUUCCUAGUGCUCUCUCUCUCUCUCUCUCUCCCUCUCGUGAUCCCUCUCUCUCUCUCUCAUGAUCCCUCUAUCUCUCUCACUAACUAUUUGAGAUGGGUUAAAAACUAUUUGAAACCCCCCCCCCCCCUCCCUAUCUCUCUCACACUAACUGUUUGAAUUGGGCUCAACACUACUAAGCCACAUGAGUCUCUAUUUGAGUUUUGGACAAAAAACUACUACUAGCUCUCUCUCUCUCUCUCUCUCUCUCUCUCUCUCUCAGAGACUACUUGAGUUGGGUUAAGGAAUAUCUCUCUCUCUCUCUCUCUCUCACACACAGAGACUACUUGAGUUGGGUUAAGGAAUAUCACUGGUCUCUCUCUCUCUCUCUCUCUCUCUCACACACACACACGCGCACGCGCGCACACACACACACAGACUACUUGAGUUGGGUUAAGGAAUAUCACUGGUCUCUCUCUCUCUCUCUCACGCACACACACACAUUUGCAAACUUUUCACCCUAGCUCUCUCUCUCUCUCUCUCUCUCUCUCUCUCUCUCUCUCACACACGCACACACACGCACACAUACACACACGCACACACACACAUACACACGCACACAUACACACGCACACACGAGCGCGCGCGCGCACGCACACACACACAGACUACUUGAGUUGGGCUAAGGAAUAUCACUGGUCUCUCUCUCUCUCUCUCUCUCUCUCUAAGGAGAUUGGUAUAGAAGAUUGCAUACAUAAAGAGUGGGUUAAUUGGAAUCUCUCUCUCUUUUAGGUGUAUAUGAUUUACACCUCACACAUGUUAGAAAUAUUGAGUUAACAACUCAUCAGCUAGCUAGGCUCAUCAACUGUUGUUUUAAAGCCCUCUUUGGUCUAAAGAUCAAGCAGAAACAAUAAAAAUUAUUCUCCUUAUUUUACUAAAUAAAUUUUUUUUUUUUACCGAAAUAUUUUACUCCAGUCGAACCUCGCUAUUCCUAGCUAUAGCUUAGGAUAAGAGUUUUGUGAACCUUCGGAUCUAGCUCAUAUUCAGUACGACCAGUCAAACCAAUCAAUUUUUUUUCUCCAAUUUAAAGUUAUUUCAUAAAGAGAGAAAUUUUUUGAUUUGUUCAUCUUAUGUUACAAUCAAUGGUCCAAUAAAGCCCCUCAUACACUCUCUUCUAUAAGGAGCUCCUUAUAGUAUAGUAUCUCUCUCUCUCUCUCUCUCUCUCUCUCUCUCUCUAAUGAUUCUGAUACUUUCUGAGGCAGUUCUCUAGAGAGGGAGAAUGCCAAUGAAGAGGCAUGCAUGCAGUGCUCACUUUCUUGCUUCUGUCAAAAUCAUUUUUUAGCUACCUGUGGGAGAAAGGUUAGCUAGCUAGCAAGAUAUAUUUUUAGUUCAUUUUUAGUGUGAUAUGAAAUUGUGGGCCUUUUUUUUUUCCUUUUCUUGUAAUUGAUGGAUUUAUGAUUAAGUGAUUUUUCAUUAGUUAGUGAUAUAUCUUCAAUUGCGCUUUUUUAACCUGCGAAAAUCGACUUAGAAAAUUUAAUUACUUGUGUUGGUUGUAAUCUUUCCAUCUUCUCUACGAAAAUAUUCGUCUCGAUCUUCUGUAAGAACUGUUGUUUCUGUAUUAAUCACGUAGCGGUAAUAGCUUUUUAACUAAGAGGCCGUUUGGUUGUGUAUAAUUAUAACUGCACUGCAGUUGUAAUUAUAUACAAAUACAAAUUUAGUAUUUGGUUUGAUGUAUUUCACUCCAACUGCUGCAGUAGAAACUACAACAGGAAGCCCAAAUGCAGCACUUGGAAAGUGUAACUUUAAAUAAAAAAUAUGCGUACUUUAUUAAUUAUUUUUUAAGGAAAAAAAUAUUUUUCUUUUUUUCAUUUGAGGUAACCUCACCAUCAUAUAUAUAGAAUGAUAAACUUUUAAAAAUCGUUUCCCAACUACAUAAAACCAAACAAAUUAUUUAUAGUUGCUGCGUUUUCUACUACAUCCAACCAAACAGGAUGUAUGUAAUUACAACUGCAUGCAUCUCCAAUUACACAAACGGCUCCUAAAAUAUUCAAAUGGCAAUAAUAAUAGACUUUUAAAUUGAAAUUUUUAUUUUAGAUUCGAGAUAUUCCAUUUUUAGUUUUCUAUUACUAGGAUAUUUAUUCGUCAAAUAUCUAACAACUACUAUGGUAUAGGUUGAGUAUCUCAACUAAUAUAAAAUGAGUGCAUUUUUGGUUCACUAGCUUGGUCAAUUAAUGAAACUUCCUAUGCUAGGGUGAAAUAAUCUUAUUUAAUUAAAACAGUAAAUAACAACAAAAAUUUUAUAUCAAGGAAAUGAACUUACUUUUAGGAGUAUUAAUAAAGUCUUUGAUCUACAUUUUUUUUCAAUGAUGAGAUACCUGAAAUAUACAAUCAACGUUAUUAACCAUGAUCUGCCAUAUUUGAACCUUCUAGAAAUUAAAUUUUUAUAAUUUGUCAAUAUUAUUUAUCUAAUGAUUAAACUAUCUUUGCUACACCUUAUCGACGAGAUCAAAAUUUAAUAUUUUUGAGACCAGUCAAAUAAGAGGUAAAUAAUAUCACAAAAUUAUAAUAUUUAAUUUGUAGAAUGUUCACAAGCCCUGUAUGGUAUUUAACAAUAUUGAUCAUCUAGUCGGAUGCCCCACAAUAAAAGGCAACACGAAAAUAUGUAAUUUAAAUUAUAUAUCGGCCUACUUGGCAAUAGGGCUGGCAAACGAGCGAGCCGGCCCGCGUUCGACUCGUGUUCGGCUCGAUAUUCGGCUCGCUCGAGCUCAACUCGAAAUUAAAUGAGCCGAGCUUGAACAAAAUAAAAGGCUCAAAAUUCAUUUCAAGCCGAGCUUGAGUAUUAUUCGGCUCGUUCGAAUUAGGCUCGAAAAGCUCGAAAAGCUCGAAAAUAUAUAUAUAUAUAUAUAAUAAAUAUAUAAUAUAUAUUUCUAUAGGGUCGUGUACCUAUACUAAUUAAUACUAUGAUCGCCCCGUCAUACUCUAAGUUGUUUUCGAUGAUCGAGCUCCAGAUCGAAUUGAUCCACACUGUUAACGUUAUUCUACGUAUUAAAACUUCAGAAAUCCAAAUUUUUAUAAUUUUUCGAAUCAUUCCUUACGAAUCAAAGAUGUCACAAAUUUGACAAUUUUUAACGGCCGGUAUGGAAUACUUGCUAGUUUAGUCGUGUAAAAGAAUCGAAUUUGUUGAAUUUUUGAUAGAAAUUUUAUUUACUAUAUAGAUAAAGAUCAUAACUCCGAUCUUGAAUUGAAGGAUCCGAUCAUCCUUUUUUAAAAUGUCGUUCGAUUUUGACCGUUCAUUUGAUGUCACUUGAUGGACUUAUAUAUAGAUUCGAAAAUUACGAAAUUUAUUUUCUAGAAGUUUUAAAUACUCACAGAUCAUAUUUAACAGAGUGGAUCGCGAUUCGGAAGCUCCAUCAUUGAAAACAACUUACGAGGGCUCAAAUACUCAUAUAGUAUAGUAGCCAUGGCUUAUAUAUAUAUAUAUAUAUAUUAUAUAUAUAUUAUAUAUAUAAUAUAUAUAUAUAUAGCAGAUUGAGCUGGAAUAUUUUACAAAUACACCGCCUUUGGUGCUAUUAGGGUUUUACGCCUUAAUCUACUCCUUGAUUACUAAUAGCCUUUGAUCAAACACAUUUCACUACCACACUACCACUAUCAUCCAACCCUACAUUCUCUAUCCAAGGGUAAAAACUCACAAGCACACCCCCUUAAUACUUUUAGAAGUAUUGCUAGCUCAACAUUAUAUAAUACAAUAUAAUAUAUAUAUAUAAUUAUUUAAUUAUAUAUAGGUUUUAAUUUAAUUUGGGCUAUUUAUUGUGGCAUAAAAAACCGACAAGUACAACGUGCAAUUGGUUCAACUCUAAAUUUAUAUAACACACUCUUCUUCUCAGACUUUCACUGUUGCAUUAACCACUAAACUGAUAACAUUCAAAUUUUCAAAUCCCUAUUUUUUUCCUCCUCUCUUCUCUCUUCUCUCUUCUCAGACCCUACUCCAGUCAGGACCAGCUCUAGCUCACAUUCUGGCAAUUAUUUUGUAUUUUGAACUAUUGGACAUUUUCAUCAAAUUGUAGGUAAUGUUCUAUAAAUAAUUAAACUACUGAGAUUAUAUAAAGUCAAUAAUUUCAAUCGGCUCGUUUAGAGCUCGAGCUCGGCUCGACUCGAAAUUAGGCUCGCUCGAGCUCGGCUCGAAUUAAUUUCAAGUCGAGCUUGAGCCUAGAUUUAGGCUCGGAAUUAAUUUCAAGCCGAAUUUGAGCUGACAUAAGCUCGCUCGAGCUCGGCUCGUUUCCACCCCUACUUGGCAAGCCCCCAAUGCAAAGUAAUAAGUUAAUUUCUUUGUUUUCGGGAAAAAAAAAAAAAAUAGUUGGCUCACUUGGAAGAUUCAAUAAAUUAAAAAAUUACUCUAUAAUAUAAAUCUUAGAGAGCAAUUUUGGGAUAAAAAAACUGAUUAGGCUAAAAAAAAAUUCUACUCAUUGCGUUUCUUUCCUUCGCUCCUCCCUUCACACUUUUUUGUUCUUUCGCCCAUCCUCUCCCCUUCGCUCUCUCCCUCUACUCCCUCUAACAAUGAUGACAACAAUGGUGUCAGCGCCGUCGUUGACAACGCCACCAAUGGUGUCGCUAUCGAUGCCGACGCUGACCUGCGCCCCUUGAAGGGACCGACCGUGGGAUUACCGAGCAGACCUUAAACUCACACAACACACGAGCACAGUAGAAAUAGAAUCUUUCAUAAAUGUAAGAGAUGAGAACGAUCGUAAAAAAACAAGCAUGAGGAUAAUAAAGUAAUAAAAAAAAUAAGAAAUCAGAACAACACAAAAUUUACGUGGUUCGGCCAACCAUGAGUUGACCUACGUCCACGAACAAGACCAACUCAAUGCUUUCUUCGAUUAAUCCACGGUACAAAAGUACAAAGGAGUAGAUUGGAUUAUAAGAAACUCUCUCUCAUGAGCUUUCCACGUUUUCCUCUCAACUAGGGUAUUCUCAAUAAAGCUCAUAAUUUAAAAGAUUAAUUACAAGGAUUUAUAUAACCCUAAAAUCCUAAUUCUUGUAGGAAAUAAUUUUCGUAUUCCAUCCAAGUCUGGUUCACAUAUAGUCAUCAAUAUUCUUUUAGGAAUUCUUUUUAAAGUGAUUCUGGACGAUUUCUAAUCUUUUGGAACAAGAUUAGAUCUAAUCAAAGUCAAACUCUGCAUAUCGACUCGGAACAUAACUUUACAUAAUCCAACAAUUCUCCCACUUAAAAGCAUAUGCCGAACACCAUAAAACAAUAAAUUGGAAGUCUUGCCAAACUCCCACUCUCCUCACAUAGCCCCAAGACCAAGAGAAGUAAUGCUCCAAUUGAACUUCUCUCUUCGUCGAAAUAUUCGUUGGAUUUGCAUCAGUAUGAACUUUUAACAGUGAGAUUAGAUUCUCAUCCACCGCGUCUCUUACAAAGUGAUAGCAAAUAUUAAUGUGCAUUGCUCAAGAGUGAAACGCCGGAUUCUUUGCCAAGUCUAUUGUACUUUGACAAUCACAAUUCACUCCCACCAUAUCUUGCUUCACUUUCAAUUCUCCUAGAAGCCUUUCCAAUCAAAUUGCUUCCUCACAAGCAUGUGCCACCGCUAUGUACUCCGCCUCUAUCGUCGACAAAGCGACCACCGACUGAAGUUUUGACUCCCAGCUAAUAGCACUACCGCCAAUAGAGAAAACAUAAUCUGUGGUAGACUUUCUCCUGUCUCUAUCUCUUGCAAAAUUUGAAUCCACAUAUUCGACACAUUCCAAACCUGCAGAACCAUAACAGAGUGAGAAAUUCGCAGUGCCCCUCAAAUACUUGAGGAUCCACUUCACUGCAUUCCAAUAUUCACAAUCUGGAUUCGCCAUAUACCGACAUACUACUCCCACUGCUUGAGCAAUGUCGGGUCUUGCGCACACCAUAGCAAACAUAAGGCUUCCUCUGCCGAUGAAUAUGGUACCUGAGCCAUGUCCGCCUUUUUUGCUUCCGUACCUAGUGAUUACUUGGCCGACAAUUUUAAAUAAAUAGGAAACGGGAUAGAAACUGGCUUUACAUUCUGUAUAUUGAAGCACCGCAGAACCUUCUUCACAUAACUCUUUUGUGAAAGCCAAACCUUCCUAUUCUUUCUCUCUCGUAGUACCUUCAUCCUGAGUGAAGCCAAACCUUCCUAUUCUCUCUCCCGUAGUACCUUCAUCCCAAUUAAUUUACGGCUUCUAAAUCCUUCAUAUCGAACUCACCAGCUAAUUGAGUCUUCAUGGUAGAUAUCCAGCUCUUACUAUUUUCCGCGACCACCAUGUCGUCGACAUAUAAUAGCAAAAUGCAUAAGCUCCUAUCAUUAUAUCCACAGAAAUAUGUACAAUGAUCCGCCUCUAGCCUAUCAAAACCCAAACUCACAAUGAAGGAAUCGAAUCGCUUGUACCAACACCUUGGCGCCUGUUUCAAGCCGUACAACAAUUUGUUCAACCGAUAAACCAAAUGCUUCCUGUCUCUUUCGACAAAACCUUUCAGUUGCGACAUAUAUAUCUCCUCUUCUAGGUCACAAUGCAAGAAAGCUGUUUUUACAUCCAUCUGCUCGAGCUUGAAAUCCAUGAUCGCUGCGAUCUCCAAAAUGACCUGAAUAGUGGUAAGAAGAUCUCAUCACAAUCGAUCCCCGGCUUCUGAGCAUAAUCCUUCACUACCAACCUUACCUUGAACCCCUCCACAUUCCCAUCCGCAUCUAUUUUCACCUUAAAUACCCACCAGCAUCCAAUUGCAUUCAUUCCCUUCGGCAAAUCAAUAAGUUCCUAAGUCUUGUUCUUCCAAAGUGACUCCAUCUCCUCCUCCAUCGUGCAUUGCCACUUUCCGACAUUGGUAGACUCACAAGCCUCCUUAUAUGAAGUCGGCUCAUUUUCUUCCGCCAAAGCAACAUAUGCACUAACAUGAUUAGCAGGAGUAAAUGACGUAAUAUAGUCAUCAUACCUCGUAAGAGAUCUAAUGACCCUCCUAGAAUGCCUGAAAUUUGCUGGUGGCUCCAUUGAUAAAUUUGUAUCUUCAGACGAUUGCAGAGACUCCAAGUUCGGUUAAUUGUCAACCACCUCAUGGUCUUCAUGUGCUUGCUUAUCUUGUAUCUCAUCGCGUGCUUCAAAGAGCUCAAUUGGAACCAUAGCCUCAUCAUCUUAUUUUUCCUUAGUACCUUGAAAGGACCCUUCGUUGAUGACAACAUCACGUGACUUACGACGAUCUUGUGGGUAGUAGGAUCCCACAAUCGAUACCCCUUAAUAUUUUUUGCAUAGCCGAGAAAUAUGCACCUCCGAGAAUUCUUAUCCAAUUUUGACCUCCUCCUUCGGUAUCCAUACGUAAGCGUCACAACCAAAGACAUGAAGAUAGGAGUAGUCAACAGGCUUGCCGCUUCAAACUUUUUCAGGAAUUUCGAAACCAAGUGAAUUUGUCGGCGCUCAGUUGAUCAACUAAUAAGCCGUGCUCACGGUUUCUGCCCAAAAUCUCUUGUCGAGUUUUGAAGUACUCAACAUACUCCGGGCCCUCUCCAUGAGUGUUCUAAACAUGCUCCGGGCCCUCUCCAAAUACUAUAAAAUAAGUUAUUAUUUAUUUAUAAAUAAUAUUUAUAUAUAUAAUAUUACACAAUAAUAUAUUUAAAAAAUAAAAUUAUAUAUAUAUAUAUAAAGGGGAGAGUCCACGGGUCCACCAUGGACUCUCUCUCUCACACGGUCCACGAGGUGAGGAUGGCCUCGUGGACCGCGUGCUCAAAAGCUCCUGAGCCGUCAUUUUGGGAGAUGAGUUUUCAUUUUCGGCAGACAUUUUUUACAGACAAUCUAUAAAAAGAGUUUUCUAAAAAAUUUUAUAGGUAACCAAACAUGGGAAAAAAAAUUUUCUACCAAAAAAAAAAAUUUCUAAGCACUUUUACAGGGAACCAAACAUCGCCUUACCAUCACGGGCGAUGAGCAACCCUCGACAAUGACCUCAUCGCCUCCGUCCGCUCCGCCCUCACCUGAGUCCGUUUCAAGUUCUCCUUUGGCGCCGACAGAGGCGGAGUCGAAUGAAGAGGAGGCGGUGCCGCUCUCAUUACCGUGGUCGAGGGUUGCCAGCGCCAGCGGAGGAGAUGGAGGAAGAGGAGAUGGCACCGCCCUCGUUACCAUUGCUGAGGCCGUGGAGGCGGUGGAGGAGACGCUGAGGGUCAAAGAGAAAAUCGGAAGUACCAAAUCCUCUAUACUUCCGAUAGCAUAGUAGCUCUACUCUAUAUAUAUACAUAGCAUCAGAUCCUCUAUACUUCCGAUACCAUAGUAGCUAUACACUAUAGAUAUGUACACACAAACGAGUUGAAUAUACAUGCAAAUGCACGUAACAAAUAUUUUAAUAACUAUCUCAAAUUAAUAUAAAAUUGUGCAUCAUAUUUAUUCAAAAAUUUAUAAUAUAAAAUUUAAAUUUAAGAAAGUAAUUUUAUUUAUUAUAUACUAUUAGAAAAUAAAUGUCAAAUUCUAACUCAAAUUUAAAUAGUUGUUGCCAACAAUAAUUUUAUAGAUUUUUAAUUUUAUAAAAUUUAUAUAUAGUGUAGAUGUAGUUACACACUGAAUAUUUUUCUAUAUUUUUUAAUUUCAAUAAAUCUAAAAUUUAAAUAUAUAUUUUAAAUUAAAAGUAUCAAAAUUAAAAAGUUAAUAUACCAAUAAAAUAUUAGUAGAUAGAAUAGAAAUAAUAUGUAAAUAUUUAUCUUAAAAAGAAGAGAUAUUGAAUGAUAAAAUUGUUUAAUAAAAAAUUUAAAAUAUUAAUAGUUGGAGGAAAAAAGGAACUAAAAGUUUGUUUUAUUUAUUCUGUGUAUGUAUGAAAAAAGAGAAAUAUUGAAAUGGGUCUGUCGACGGACCAAAAUUUAAAAUACGUGCUUUUAUACAUAAUAAUAUAGAUAUAUAUAUAUUUUUAAUAUUUUAAGACACAAAAAUAUAAUAAAAAAUAUAGGUUAACCUUAUUCUUUAAUUCUCAUCCUUAAUUAUCAAAACUAGAAGAAAAACAAAAAUAAUACUCUGAAGUCUUACAAAAUUCCAUGCGCAACAUGUGAUCAAAAUAACUGUAUGGACGUGUUUGGUUCGAAGUCGGAAUCGGUAUUGAAAUCAUAAUGAAAAUAAGCUGGAAACAUAAUCGGAAUGGUUCAUUGCCUCAUUCCGUUUAGUUCACCACCUGAAUCGGAAUCAGAAUGAAUCAUUCUCAUUAUCGGAGUUUGCUUCAGAUAGACAUCAAAAAUAUAAUUAAAUUAAUAUAUUAAUUUUUAAAUUAAUAUAUUAAUUUUAUCUUUGUAAUACAUUAGUUUAAAUUCAAAUUAAAAAUUAAAAAUUCACAUCUAAAUUUUAAAACGAUGUCAAAAUUUUAAAUAUAUUUUUUUAAAAAAAUUGAAAUUAAAAAAAUAAUUAAAAAUAUAAAACUAAAUUUCAAUUUAUUCAAAUUCAAACUUAAAAUUAUAAUUUCAAUUUCAAUUUGAAUCCAUAUAUUUAAUUUAAAUUUUAAAUAAAAUUCAAAUAAAACUUUAGAUUUUAAAUUAAAUUUAAAUUUAAAUUCAAAUUAGAUUCGAAAUAUUUGAUUGAAUUUUAAUUUUUAAUUUAAAUUUAAAUUAAAUUUUAAAUUUAUAAAUAUAAUUUUUAAACUUAAACUUACGUUUUAAUUAAAAAAUAAGUUUAAAAAGUUGAUAUUUAAUCCGAACAAAUCCAUUCUACCCGAAUUUAAUUUCCAAUCGAAUUUAAUUUUCAAUCCGGCCACUUAGCCUGAUUGAUAAAAAGGAAUAAUUGGGAAAACUUCCAUUCAUCCGAAAAUCGAAAUUGAAAUAAAAAUUUCGUAUACCAAAUACGGGCAAACGAAUUCGCCUAUUCUGAUUCCGAUUCGUAGGUGAAAAUUUUCGAUUCGAGGGUGAAAAAUAGACGAAUCAAACACGCCCUAUAAUUAGUGUGGUUGAGGAAAGGGGCUAUUAAACUAUUUUGUAAAGUUAAAAAAAAAAAUCUGAUUGCGAAAAUUAAAAGUUCACAUAUUUGUUUGCACAAGAGUUAAAAAGUUUAGGACCCUUUAGCGUUUGGUUCGGAAACAAAUGAGGGAAUAAGUUCUUAUUUUUCCUUUUGUUUCCAAACGUUACAACCAUCCAAACAUUAUGUCUGUUUCUGAAAUAAACUGUUCUUAUUUAUAUUUGAACGAAAUACAACCAAAAUCAGAAUAAAAUAAAACACCUCCACACACAUUAAUGGCGUAAAAACAAACUCGUACGUACAAUAAUGGCGUCAAAGCAAACACGUGCAUACCAUAGUAGGAAGAGUAAAAUGCCUACCUAUACACUUUUUUUUUUUUUUAAUAAGAUGUAAAUCUUACACUCAAUAAAUAAAAAAAUCUCGACAUACAAUAAUGGUGUAAAAGCAAACUCGUACAUAUAAUAAUGGCGGUAAAGCAAACUCGCGCAUGCUAUAACAGGGAAAGUAAAAUGCUAGCUAUACACUAUUUUUUUAAGAAGGAAAUCUUACACUCCAUCUAUUUCAUCUAUUGUAUAGAUAGAUUUUUUUAAUAAUCCCAUCGAGAUGACUAUUAAAAAAACCCCACAAAUGGGUGGAGUACAAAAUUUACACCUAAUUUUGAAUUCAUGGAUACCACUGCACAUAGUAAAAAGACGAAAAUUCAGUGUACAACUCGACAAUCUCAAGCACUAUUUGAACUCCAAACAAAAUCUGGUAUUUGUAAGAUGAGUGUGAUCAAAUGUCCAAAAUAGAUAACAUAUUGAGUUAGGCUGGUAUACUAUCGGUAGCACGGAGGCCUCCGUGCUACCAAGUUAUUUUCAAUGAUGCGACUUUCAAAUCGACGAUCGGCUCCGUUAGACUUGAUCUACACUAUUAAAAGUAUUUGGAAACUAAAUUUCAUAAUUUUUGGACAUCAUUUGGCUAGUGAUCAAAAAGUUUCAAAAUUAACAAUUUUAAUGGUAGAUAUGAUGCGUUUUUAAGUUCAACGGUGUAGAAGUAUCCAAAUUAGAUGAAAAUUUAAUAGAAAAUUCUACUUAACAUCAAUAGCAAGACCAAUACUUCCGAUUUGAAAUUUGAAUUCUUUACCAUUGUUUUUUAUGAGAUUUUUAUUUUCAGCCGUUCAUUUUUAGACUAUUCGUUUGAUUGGUAAAUGACACCGAAAAAUUAUGAAAUUUAAUUUCCAAGUACUUUCAAUAGUGUAGAUCAAGUCUAACGGAGCCGAUCGUCGAUUUAGAAGCCGCAUCAUUGAAAACAACUUGGUAGCACGGAGGCCUCCGUGCUACCGAUAGUAUACCAGCCUAGCUCUAACAUAUUUAAUAUUUUAAGUUAGUUUUCUCAGAAUAAGAUGUGAUGCCCUAUAUUUCAGGAGGUCAUCCAUCCUAGGACUACUAUAGUUCUAGCACACUUAAACUCUUUUUAAUCUCUUGGGCUUAAUCACCGAUCAAAAUGUUACAGCCGAAUUAAAAAUUUUUAGUCUUAUUAUAUCUUAUUUAUAGAACUACCUAAGGUCUUACAUUCUUCCCUUCUUUAAACACUGAUAUUCUCGUCAGACUAAGACUCACAAGUACCAGACAAUGUAAAACUCGUCUCGCUGGCCUUAACUGACCUUGUGGAGGAGCCGCACUCUACCUACAACAGUCGUUAGAAUAAGAGUCUCACUUUCCCUGAUGUAUAACUAGCUCAAACGAGACUGAUCUCAUACUUUCGACUGAUAUUACUCUUCCUAGGACUACUCUGAUCCUAACACGCUUAACUCUUUUAACCUUUUAGACUUAACCACCGCCCAAAAUACUAUAGCCGGGUUAAGAAUUUUUAGCUGUAUUAUAUCUUAUACCCCAUAAAUAAAAUAUACUAAUCUAACCAAAUCAUCAAUAAUAAGAUCCUUCAAAGGAAACAAAAUAAUAAUAACAACAAACUCCUACGGCACAAUCACACGAGAAUCCUAGGCCUUAAUAAAUUUGUCAUUAAUUUCCCUUCACUGUCAAGCAAAAGGACCACCUGACCAAAUACAGAGAAAAGUGCAGUGCAACAUUUAAAAAAAAAAAAAGAAAAACUCGUAGAUAUUUAUCAUUAGACUCCAAUAAUAUGUUGCUUACAAAGAAUUAAAAAGGAAAUGGUAUGGCAUAUAUAGAUUUAUCAAACAAUUCAAUGGAUAACACCAAGAAAAUAUAACAGCAUUUCAUAGGAUUAGAUCUAUAUUAUAAAAGAGACCACAAAUACACACACAAACUCGAACUCUAAAAUGGUUUUACCCCUCAUACCUAAAGUAUCGAACAGCACGAAUUCGUCUUCUUAGCCUGCUUGUAGAACAUCUGUAAAGGGAAGGGCAGCAAACAAAAAAAAAAAACAAAAACAAAAUAUUAAAAGAAAAUCACGUCAACAUAAUUUCGUAUUCAAAGUAUAAGAUGCUUAUCAGCGUCGAGAUCAUGUUUGUGCAUCAUAAUUAUGCAAAGAACAAGUUCCUGCCAAAUGAUGCAUCAAGUGGAAAGAUGAAAUCAUAUAAAGACUCCCUCAAUUUCAGGCCAUUCUGAAAUUAGAUCCCUAAAGUUCAAAUUUCUUUGAUCAGCGAUCCCUAUAACUUUCAGUGUUUUCAUUUCUCGAGGGCGUCAAUCAAAAAAUAAAAUAAAAAAUAAAAAAUCUUAAGUUCGAGAGUCGAAUUUAGAAUUGAGCAAGAAGCGAGAGUUCAACAGAGUUUGCACACAUGAAAGAAACAAAGAUAACGGAAAGAAAAAGAAAGACUGUUGCUCAAGAAACUUUGCAUGCUGAUCAUAAAGCGGAUAAAACAGAAUUUUGGCAAAGAAACCAAAAGAAUAUAAGAGUCAAAAGAAGACAUUUAACAUGUACAAAAUGAUUGAGCUAUUUUGUGGCAUAGUUUUGUUGCUUCUUCAGGUAUGAAACCAUCAAAAUGAAAAAAAAAAAAAAAAAAAGAAAAAAAAAAGGGGGAUCAAAAGGCACCCAAAAAUAAUGGGAUUUGGAAUUCAUCCGAUUAUCCAGUUAGGGCUUGUCUGGCAAAGCUGCAGGGGUGGUGCUGAUAGGGGCAGCACUACUACUAGCUUUUUUCUCACCCCCCAGCAAUUUCUUACUACAGGAGAAGCAAAAGCUCCAAUUUGGAGCUUCCAUUUUUGGGCACCAGAAUCUCAUUUUGGAUCUCAAUAAAAGAGCUCCAAACUACUAUAUUUGCAAAAAAAAAAAAAAAAAAAAGGAAGCUGCUAGCCCAUGGCACUUAGAGCUUACAGCAACCCACUGUAAUGUGUCGUCAAGUGUUUUCUGAGUAGUGCAGUUAGGAGAAGCACUAAUAACUGUUCCAUUGAAAUCCUUCCCAACAGCUGCUCUAUGCGACAAAACAAGCAGGAGAUCAGAUUUGUAGCUUAUGCUUUUGCGCCUCAAAAUCCUCCUUAUGCCUCUCACUAUAGCAGGAGCUCUAAACUUUUUAAUUAACCAGAAUGUUCAACAAGAGGAGGCUACAGAUAAAUGAAGAAGCAGAAGCUAUUCCAAAAGCAUACUUAGUCUAGUCAUCAAACACACAAAACUAUACCUGGGAGGCAGCACUUAGGUCUGAACUCUUUUCAACUAGGCUAUCCAAUCUCUCUCCUCGCGCGAGGACACUGUCGAUGGUCUUGUGCUGCAUAAGAUCAAAAAAUCAUGAAUACAAUCCAUAAGAUAAACUUUGCAUAACCAUAAGUAGAAAAUUUUCAGAUGAAGACACCUAACAAACAGUAAACGACCUGAUCCUAUCCUACACAAACUCGUCUUGCGUCAAUCUUCUAAACAACAAUUACACGGGGAAAAAGAAAUAAGAGAAAUGUUUUCAAACCCACCACAAAUCUGAAAAGAAAUCAUGUCCAACUUCAAUCAUUGAAUAUACACAUAUGAGCAAAAGGUGGAUAUGUUCUUCCAUUUAGAACAAAAAAAAGUUCUCCGUUGUAAUAUUAAAUGAAUAAAAGGAUACAUGAAAUAGUUAACUUACAAGGAUAAUUUUGGUUUCAUCCAAGUCCCUCUGAAUUUUCAGCAGCUUGUCAGCCUCAGCAGGAUCCUGAUAGAAAGGUAAUGCAUAGAGAAGAAAAAAUAAACAGCAUUGACUCGCAAUCUUAGAUCACAAUUAGAGGAAAAGAAAGGGGGAAAAAAGAAAAUAUACAUCCAGAGAAUGAACAAACACACAUCAAAAGCAGUAACUAACCAACAAACUUCCUAAUCCAGAAGUUGUUGCUUAAAACUGCAAAAAAAAAGAAGAAACAAACCUGAAAUUUCGUUAAAGCCUCAGUUAAAUAUGGCCAUGGUUGAGUGGAAUCUGUUUGAGCACUUCUCCACGAUUCACCAAAAGUUUUUUGAUAUUCAUCUAGUACCUUCAAAAAUGUUUUCCAUGUAAGCUUCAUAAUCAUCCAGCCAGAGAAAAAUGACAACGUAAGUAAAUCAAAUUUAAUUAUUACAAAUGGCUAUUUUGUCUCCACCACCCAUCUACCACCAACAAGCAGCAAAGAAUAUUAAUAACCCACCAAAUGAAUGCCAAAUGUUGACAAUUAAUAACCAGCAGGUAAAGCUUAGAUCUCAACUAUUAAGUUCAAAUUAUUAGCAACUCACAGCAUACAAAACCUCUCAUUAGGUGCAAAAUCAAGUGCCAGCUAAAGCUCUCUAUUUAAAAGAGUAGGUUGAGCAAAAGAUAAAUUUCAUUGUCAUAGCAAUGAAAAAGCUAGAGUUCCACUUCGCAAGGCAUGAGGAAUAAAUAAAUCAAUAGCAUUGGCAGUUCACUGGACAACUUGACAACAGAUUUAUACAAGAACAGGCAGCAGCUGAAUAUGAAUAACCAACAGCCAUGGAAGCAUGAUAAAAUGAUAAAACUGAGACCUAAAAGUCCAAUCAUGUAUAAAAGUGACAUCUUAUGCAUCUCAAGCCAAAUAAAUUACAUCUAAACGGUGUAUAAGAAAGCAAAUUAUGCGGCUGUUUUUGUAUCACAAUAAAAUAUCAGGCAGUUAAUAAGAUACAUUUUCCCCAUACGCAACCAAUACUAUUCAAAUCCUCCUUCAAAUUGAAUAGAGCAAGGCUGUAAGCAAUCUCCUGCAGAAACCAACAAGACAAGCAGUACUAAAUGCUAAAAAGGAUUACCCUAUGUUUAUAAAACAAGGAUGACAAGAAAUCUUACAAUAAAAUGCAUUAUGACAAGAACUUUAUCAAAUUUUGAGAUGAACUGUUUUAUCUACUUCUAAGAAAAGAUAUGCCUCAGUCACUGCAACAAUAACUAAGCACAACAGAAUAUAAAUGAAACCCUAUCCGGCAUAUGAUGGAUCAUUGAUUGUAUACCGUUGAGUCACAAAUAGAGGACUGAACAACCAGAUGUGCCAUAGCAAUAUGUUUGCAGAAAUGGAUGAAGUGAAGACAGCAUUAGAAAGAGAAAUCCAAUUACUUGAAAUCACGAAACUCAAAUUUCACCAGCUCUGACUAAACGACAUUAAUUCACCACUAAUAAAACAACUUGAAGCUGAUAAAGUCACCCGUGUCAGGUAAUAUUACCAUCACAAAAAUUACGAAAGGGACAAAAAUGCAUAAUACCUUGUUUAGAAGAGAAAAUGCACUUCGCACAGGAUAAUGAUCGUCCAUAAAUGCCAAAGCACAAAGACCAUUUUUAUUGUAAGAGUGAACCUUGUAUUCUAUGGCAGGAGGGGAAAAAAUAAUGUCAGCAUUUAGACCUUGAAAUUUGUCCGAUACAUCAAUGUUAAUUACCACUCAAGAUUAUAUACAGAAGAUUAAAGGGGAGGAAAAAUAAGAAACUUUGGGUAACUACUCAAACUAGCCUUUGGCAAUUCUACUGGAACUACACCCGUUUUAGCACUAUCAUUUUCUCUACACUCAUGUAAUUAUAUUUUUACUCCACAAAAUGUAGCUCUCUAAUCUCUACACUGUAGCCAUUACAAAUCUUAGCCGUAUAUCAUUCAAAAUUUAAAGCAAAAGGAUAUUCCCUGACAGAGUUUGAAUAAUUUCAAUCUUAGGCAUACAUCUUUAAAGCAAAAGGAGAUUCCCUAACAGUUUGACUAAUUUCAAUCUUAGACCUACAUCUAUCCACAUAGAUUAGAAAAUGUUUGGACAGAAGCCAUCACAAGCUGUGAGCUAGAGGAUUAGAUCCUAGCCCCGUUAUACAUGGAAUCGCAUGUUACAUAUAUAAACAAGAUAGCUAAAUCAUGUCUCAUUUCUUCAUAAUCAGCUCAAUCCACUCAUUCCGAAAGUCAAAUUCUUUUAUGAUAUUAAUUGCCGACCAUUGGUCUGGUUAGAAUAUAAAAGAAACUAAAAUUGUGCGGACACAAAGUAAUUUCUUAGUACCUACUGAACACCAACAUUUUCUACUGUUCUCUACACUGCUAUCUCCGAAGCAUUACUACCUAUCUUGUAUUUAGACAUCAUUUCGUGUUGUUUAUACAAAAAGAAUGGGCACAAAUACCCUCAAGAUCAAGACCCCUAUCUCAUAAUAUACGAGAACUCACAGCCUCUUUCCAAAUCAAGGUCAAUAGCACAGUCACAAGACCCUCCAACUUCUUGAAAACUUUGCGCGAAUAAUUGACAAAUUCCAGUUGUCGUAUGUUUCUCCUAACUACUAAUACAUAAUUUCAAACAAAACAAUAUCUGGAACUACGGAUUACCUAUGAAUUAAUUUCCUAAUUCAAGUAUUCUAUACAAGUUUCACUGCCAAACGAAUUAUUCAUAUGUUCUUCCAUUUUCAUACCUUAAAAAAGAUGGAAUAUGUAGUGAUCAUAAACGAAUUUCGUACUUUUACAUAUUAAUUAUAGUUUUACCAAAUUUUCUAAACUGUUGCAAAACUCCAAACAUUUUGACCUUGCCAAAUUCAACCCUAAUGCCUACAACUUGUGAGAUCAGAUCAAUCAAAAGAUUCGAUCUGCGUCGAAUGGAUCGAAUCUAAGGGAGAAUACCCUCGUGUUGAACGGAUUGGCGUUGGCCGGGAGGGGUGCGCUUGGCGACGGUGCGGGCGACGAAGAGGAUGAACUCCUUGGCGGCGGUGCGCUGGAAGUAGCCGAAGUGGCUCACGUCGGAGGCGUUGGCGAGCACCACCGGGUCCGGCGCCGCCGCGGAGGAGGAAGAGGAAUCGCCGGAGCAUUUUAGGACGAGGAGCGAUGUGAUCUUCAUGGCGAUCGCAGGGGUUCGAGGAGAAACCCUAGAAAUUGGGGAAAGGGGGGGAGGGGAGAGGAGGAGGAGAGGAAGCGUUUUGUUUAGGCGAAGGGACGGGGAAAAGCGGUGAAAGGAAACGUGGAAUGGAAUAAUAAUAAUAAUAAUAAUAAUAAUAAUAGGGAUAAUUAUUUAUAUGCCCCUCAAAACGUCUAAAAUAUUUUAUAUAUUUUUAUUUUUUUAAUAAAUUAAUUGCAUACACGUCCAUACAAAUAUGAUGAAUUGCAGAUAUAUUCCUGCAAUACUCAACUUUUAUAAUUUGUCUCUGCCAAAGUUUUAAUAUAUUCAGAUAUGUCCCUCUGGUUAGGAUCCGUUAGAGAACUGUUAAUUUUUUAACAAUAUGCUCGUGAAAUGAUAUUUUUGCCCUCACAAAUAUGUCUCUCUAAAAGCACAUUUACAGAAAUGUCCUCCUCUUUCUCUUCCUUUUCGGACCGCGGGAGUGGACGGCGGUGGCGACGACAAAGAAGAAGAAGGAGGAGAAGAGGAGGAUAAGAAGAAGAAGAAAAAGAAGAAGAAGAAGGAGGCGGCGGAGGCUGUUGUCGGCCGCCGAGGCCGCCGGGGAUGGCCCACGGGAGCACCGCUCGAUCUCCCACGAGGAGGAGGUCGGCGUCAACGGCGAGCUGCUUGAGGGCGUCGGAGACGAGCCUCGAGACCGGCGACUCCGGCGACAGCCGCUACAGCACGAUCUCGCUGCUGCGGCGCGGGCCCCUCCCCUGCAACGGGCGGUCCUUCUCCCUCGCUUGCCUCCGCUUCCCCAUCGGCUCCCUCUCCACUACCUCGGACCACCGCUCCGUUCUCCCCCUUUUCCACCGCUCCGUCUUCUCCUGGCUCCACCUCUGCCUCCACAGCGCCGCGCCCGCUCCAAUCCCCGACCUCCUAACCCUCGUGCAGCAGCCCCUCGGCCUCCGCCGCAGAAGCAUCACGCGGCGGAGAAGAGGCGAAGGAGGUCGGCGUCGGCGGCUUCCUCCGUAACCGCGGCUCCUCCUUCUCCGUCGCGAUCGCCCACCGCAUCUCCUCCUUCGCUGGCGACGAAGAAGAGGGAAGAGGAAAAGGGAGAGAAAGAAGAAGGGGGUAAAAUUGUCAAUUCAUUUAUUAAUUAACCAUAGUUAAUGAUUUUAACUGUGGUUAACGAAAUUCUCUAACGGAAACUAACGGCAAGGACAUAUCUGAAUACAUUAGGACUUUUGCAAUGAUAACUUAUGAAUAGUGAGCUUUGCAGGGAUAUAUCUGCAAUUUACCAUGUUAACAGGGACGUGUAUGCAUUUAACCCGUUUUUAAUAUACUUAUCAUAUAUUUUUUUCAUUACUAAAAAACUUCACAAUUAAUAUCUGUUAAAUCAUCUCGAGUUAAAUUUCUAUGAGAGUUAAACAAAAAUACCUUCUUCGCCCCUAACUCGAGGAAAAUAAAAAAGUUUGCGACGAUAGAAGGGUAUAUUUAAAAGGGGCAAUUGCUUAUAUAUUCUUGAAAAGUUCUCGACUUUCUGAUUUACCCCUCUUAAAAAGCUAAUAUUAAAAGUGUCUUUUUUACAUUCUAAGUUAUUUCAACUAUACUCUUAGAGUUAAAUCUUGUUAGUGAACGGUUAGCAAUAGUCGUUAUCUUUAUAAAAUUACUAUUUUGCCAUUUUCAAUAUAAUUUUUUUACCAUCACCAACUUUUCUUAUUUAUCCUUAAUUUAGGGACAACAAAAGGAGUAUUUUUUUGGUCUUUUCAAAUGUACCUCUCUAUCAUCACCAAUUUUUUUUAUUUGCCCUUAAAUGAAGAGCAAAAGAGGUAUUUUUAUUUUUUUUAAAGUUCGGUAGACUUUUAGCUCACGUUUAAUUCGAGAUAACUUAACUGGUGGUAACUGUAAGAUAUUUUUGAAUAAUGAAGGAACAUAUGAUGGGUAUAUUGGAAACAAAAAAAAAGUAGCGGUAAAUUAGAUAUUUUCAAAGUUUUGAGGGGUAUAUAAGCAAUUAUUCCUAUUUAAAAAGUCAAAAUGCUUCUUUUGUCCCUAACUUAAUGAGAAAUAAGAAAAGUUGGUAACAGUAGUAGGGUAUAUUUAAAAGGGUAAAAUAAUAAAUGUACAAAGAUAACGACAGUUGCGAACGGUGCACUAACAGAAUUUAACUCUAGAAAUAUAUUUGAAAGACAUAAACAUUAAAUAUAAUUUAAAUUUUAAAUUUAAAUUUAUAAUAUAAAAUUAAAAUUAAAAUUAUAAAAUUAACCGGCACUGACACAGCGCCGCCGUGGUACUGACAUGGCAUUUUUCGUCAAUUUUAAUAUCCGUUCUGAUGACUGGAAUUUAAUUGUAAGAAAAUCAAAAGGUUGGAGACUUGAUUACAAAAAAAAAAAAAAGGUUGGGACUAAAGUGAAAAAAGGUGCAAAGUUGGGGACCUAUGGUGUAAUUAACCCUAGUAAUAGUCUUAUAUCUAUCAAUAUCAAUACUUUUUUUAAAAAAGAGAUCUUUUUCUUUCUAAAAUACCCCUCAAUUUAAAUAUAUUGUUGAAAGUAAUAUCAUAAUCUUAUCCAUCCGAUUGGAGUUACAUAUAUAACCAGUCACUCGAUCUUUUCAGAUUUUCGAUAAUAAUAUUAUUAUUGACAAAUUUUUAAAUUGUAUCUUCUCAUAUUUUUUUUUACCAAACUUUUUCAUUUUUCUUUCCAUAUGCUGCAUUUUCUCCGGAUAAUGCGUUCCACGCAUUUCGUCAAUAUAAUCGCCAACGAACGCAUUAUCGCCAAUUCUGAUUCUCAUACUCAAGUCUUCAUCGAUUAAUUGGCAUGAAAGAUAUAUUUAUAAAAAAACACAAUAACCAAAAAAAAAAGGGCCUUUUUUUACUUUUCUUAUUUUUUAUAUUAUUUUCUUUUUUUAAGUUAUAUUAGUAUGAUGUUUUAUUUUAUAUGGAUCCUAUUUUGGUCAAGAGAUCGAUCUAAAAGACUCCUCAUACGCACUCAUCAUAUGCACGAAAGAUCACCCCAACUCCCUAGUUAUAUUAGUCCUUUCAUAUAUCUGUGGCACUCAUCCAUUAAUGUGGACCAAUAGGAAGGAACCGAAUUGUAUACUAACUUUUAUCAGUUGAGGUCACGUGUGUUGGCAUUCGGUUAAAUCGAAUCGGGUACGCCCAUAAGCGGAUUCGAUCCGACGGAUAUUAUGUUAUCUAAUUGGAUUAGGAUUAAUCUCGCUUUCAAAUUGGAAAGCUAAUUAGAGAUAAAUCUAAUCAUAUUAGGAUAACAAAUAAUAAUCGAUUUGGCCUUAUCUCUAACGCUAUUAGGAUUUUGGAAUUCCUUAUAAAUAGACGGGCGAUCCCACAUGAAACGAUGUACACGGAAAGAGAGAAUAAGAAAAUAAUAGAGAGAAACCACAUCCUCCAUUGACCUAUUAUUCUAGAGGGACUUGCACGGUGGAUUUGUGAUCGUGCUCGUUUGUAGUUCGAUCCAUCGCGAGUUUGGAACGUAAGAAGAUUUAAUCAAGGACGAUCAAAGGACACGUGAAUCAACCUCGACGAUCCGGGCUCAUCGAGUUGUAAUCCGAAUCGCUUCCGCAAAAAGGUACGAACCGAAAACUUGCGCUGCGUUCUACAACGUGAUUUGAUUAGU